CCACACAAACAAACUACUUCAUUUAAAUAAAGAAGAGCUAAAAAAAGUUUUUAUUUCUUUAAAGGUAUGUGAAAGAAGCGGGACAGGCCAGUAUACAAACGAAGGGAAAAGGUACCGUGUGAGUUCCGAGUGAAGUGCCCGAAGAGUACCAAGCCGCAGGCCAGAGGGUUACUCCAUUUGUACUUCAACGGUCUCUUAUGACGAAGGAAUAGACAAAUACUAUAACGGGUCUCAGUCAUAUAGCAGUCAUGUUCAUUUUUCACAAUCAGGAGGAGGCUUCUUUUCGUCAAAUGGGCAGUUACUUUCCGUCCAUCUAAGAGACGCUCAUAUGGAUCGGUAUCGGAUGUUUCCCCUUAUCGUAAUUAAAAUAUUCCGUUUCGCAUUUGAAUACCGUAAGUGCAGAAGCUCUAGCCUAUGUGGUUUUCUACCUUUCGGGUAUCAUAUCGUAAAAUAUAUACCUUUCUCUAGCUCAAUGUGUUUAUUCCUCGUACGGACCUGUCGCCGUCGUCGUCGUCGUAAACAUAAAAGACUUGGUAGGAGUCUCUUUUAUAAGGACUUUAUGUUGGUUUAAGUAGUAUUUAUAUUAUCGUUGUAUAUAAGGUACCAUGGCUGGAAGAGAUCUCGUUCACCGCUUCCCGAAUCACCAACCAUGGGCUCCAGGGUUCAAGCUUAGGAUCAAUUAAAUGUAAAAGUUGAUUUAAAUAAAGAUUUACUUUAUUUGCUUUGCCCAUCGCACGAUAGAUAGAGAAUAAGUAGUAUUUAAGUUUUCGUUGUAUAUAAGGUACCAAAAGACUCUUUUUCAUAUAUAAGGUAUCGUGUCUGUAACGGUCUUGUACCGCGUAAAGGUGUGGGAACAUGCGUCUAGGGGAAUAAACACCACGAAGGUGCGGGAACAUGCGUCUAGGGGAAUAAACACCACGAAGGUGCGGGAACAUGCGUCUAGGGGAAUAAACACCGUGGUAUGAAGAAUAUUAAACAGAACAUUAUUCGGUUUACAAGACAAUUGGUGGUUGGGUAGAGAAGGUUUUCUAUCUAAUUUAUAUACUGCUUUGAAUGGUGACCUAUUACAAUAGAUCCUUCUUAUCAUUACGAAUUUGUUCGUACAUUGUGGGAUUUUUACUAACCUAAUUGGUUCUCUUUUGACUCAAUUUAUAACAAACGUCAUGACACUAGCUAUACCGUUUCGUAUUACGAUUCCUAUCUCUAGUCAUUCUUGAACCUCGUGCGUAAAGACAUGAUAAACCAUAAUGCAACACUUUCCAAAGUAUAUGUUCGAUAGGCGCAGUUCGUAUAUCGAAUGUUAUUCUUGGUUUAUAUCCUCGUUGUUAAGGUUUAUCAGUUUACAGAAACUUACUUUAUAUCUUUGUUAUUAGGGUUUCUCAGUUUAUAGACACCAUUUACUAAAUGGAGGUAUAACGUAAACGUUCUAGUAGCACAGAACGGAGACCAAAGUAUCGUCGUAGUAUACGGUGUUACAAGGGUAUCUUAUAAAAAAGAUCAAGAAAGUAGGUGAAUUAGUUUUCGUUCAAUUGGACUUUGGUGUGUCAUCAUUCGUACUCGUUCAUUGUAUAGAUGUUCUGUUCCUUUAAUGGUUUUGAAACUUACGGUCUUCAUUAUUCGAUUUGUAGUCAUGUUUAAGGAGUUUGAGUUCCGUGACUACUACUUUAGGAGUUGUCAGUUUUUGUGUUAAAAUCGACGUAGUGAAUGAAUAAAGAGAAAAUGUUCAGAAUGUGCAACUUGUUUUUUGAAGGACAAAUUUCAUAGUUAAUAUAGUUGGCUAUCUGUUAGACGAAUACUCCGUGUAGUUCUUAUUGGUAUCUUAAAGUACCUCUUUGUUUUGAUACGUUUCUUAUUUUUUUUUCAUCAUCGUUGGUUUGUCUUGAGUAGUGUGUUGAAUUUCGUAAAUGUUAAAUACCUAGAUCUUAUGAUUCAAUUCGACUACCUACUAAACUUUCAAGAUAUUCAUUGUUUCUAUGUUAUGUCGAUCUUGCUACUAGUACGUUACGGUUUUUAUUCUGAGUAUAGUAGAAUAGAUACUUUUGCAAAAAAAAUUUACUUCUAUUUCCUUUAUCCUUCGUUGUUGAUUGGGGUCGGAAACUUUGAGAGUCGAGUUCUAGCACUAAUAUUUAAAGUAUGUCUAUAACCGGCUUGACCUGGGGAAGGAAAGGCAGAAGGAAGUUCGCUGCAUUUUGUUCGGUGUAUACUUCUUGUUCGUUACUUUUACAUCAAAAUUUGCAAAAGAGGUUGACUUUAUGACGUGCCUUAGUUUGUACCGUCUACAAUCAUAUGAGGGUUUAUAAUGGACCUGUUUUAAUGAACUGGUUCAAGUGUUUUACAUUAUGUUUAUAUCUGGUAGAAGAAACAUAGAAGUAAAAUAACAUUGGAACGUAUACACCUUCGUCUUUAGUUCUAGACUUAUCGACGAAUCAAAUACUGGUGUCAUUUGGAGAAGGACUAUUUUAAAUAACAAAAUUUUAGUUUUCCGGUUGCGAGAAAUGAUUGGUUUAUUCGUUAUUCUGUUCUAAAACUAACUUUCGUCUGAAUUAUCUAACCUGUAAUUGAUUCGUUUUUGCUUUUCCCUUUGCUUUUAUCCUAUAGUAAACCACUGAUCAUUCUUCCGUCUGGUAGUAUUUAUCGUCCGAACAGCUGGACUCUUUACUGUGCCGCUAUCUGUUGUAAACGGGGAGACUAGCUAAACGAGACGAAUGACAUCUUAUUGUCAUCGAAUUUUUAUUAUGCGGCUUACGGGAGUUUGGCGCCGAGAAGUUGAGCGUUCCCUCUUAGUGCUUGGUUUCGGUUUCUUGUCCCAAACCUGGUUUUGUUUCGUAAGUCAAACUGGACAUUUUCUCUGCUCGGUUUUACCUUUGGAAUAGACCAUACAAAAGUAUUCUUACCUAUUUAAGUUCCUGAGAUUAGUAUUUUACAGCUUUAUUCGUAUGACUUUACGCAUUUGUUCAUACUGGGGUCAUAAAAGAUGUCCUGUUUAAAUCGUGAUGUCUAAGUUUCAAGGCUUUCUCUAUACGUUUUUUGACAAAUUAUGUUUCAUUACAAACCUCUUUAAUGUUUAGGAGUAGUAUUCGGAUUUGUUUAGGAGUAGUAUUCGGAUUUGAGAGGGUACAUAAGUAGUCUUGUUUUUUGUUUAACAAAUUAUUCCAAGAAAAAUACUUUCAGUUUUGGAUACAGCCAGUUUUUGAGUUUUACGCACUUUUACUUUUACAGUGUGGGAGCAUAGUAAAAUAAGAUACUGUGUCAAUCUCUUUUCGUCAAAAUAGGGAAAGCUUUUCAAAGUAAAAUCGUAACGGAGAAACGCUGAGUAAGAACGGCUUAAGGAGGAAUCGAACUAGAAGCUUUCAAUGCCGAAUUAAGUAAACGGAGCCGGUAUAGUUGACUAGUUUUGGAUGAAGAAAUAUACAACAAGAGUUACUGAUUAUCUUUAGACGGUGAACGAAAAGAAAGGAUAAUGGCGGGAUUAAAGAUUUUGGGAUUAAUGAAAUGGAGAGUCUUUAGUCAGAGUUUAUGUUUUGAUGCUCGAUACUCGUCGUGUUACGAUCUAUUCGUUAGUGAUGUUUUAUAAGUAAUUCUCUCUUUUUUGACUUUGGAUUAGAUUAACGCUUUAUUAAGAUUGGUUUAAACGCUAAGAUUGCUUAAGAAUGUGGAGGCCGAAUAGUACCUGCGCGAAGCCGCCGCCGCCGCCGCCGCCGCCGCCGCCUCUUAAGCUUCCUCGGCCGCGGCGUCGCCGCCGAAACCGCUUCGACGCUAGCUUCUUUUCUCGAAGACGCCCUUAGCGACUAGAGAACACGGUACGCUCCCACCUCCUCUCUAGCCUUUGCCGAGAGGGGGUAGCUCCCUUGUAACAACUUUUUUUUUUUUUAAUAUCUCCGCUCUAACCCGCUUAGUUUGGAUCUUUUCUCCCGCUAUUACGCGCUAAUACCGAAGUUUGUAAAUUAAACCUUUUUCUCCUUUUCCUCUAACUACUCUUUAAGGAGUAGGACGCUAGAUCCCAAAUUCUUCUCCCCCUCUCUCUCUCUCUCUCUCUCUCUCUCCUCUACCCCCUCUCCCCAAAAAUCACGUUAUAAGAAGGAGAUUUUAAAAUAAAAUUUUUAUUUAUACAAUUUAAAAAUAAGUAUUUAUAUCAAAAUAUUCUCGCUACUUACUAAAUAGCAAAGACGAAAAAAAAAAAAAGAAUGAAAAAAAAUAUUAAGACACUACCAUUUUCGCCAUUUACCAAAUGGUAAAUAUAAUAAAAAAAUGAUGAUUUGUCUUCAAUACUUACGCCACUUAGUAAGUAGCGUAAAUUUUUAGAUAAAAAUAUUAAUAAAAAUUUUUUUUUUAAUAAAAAUGCUAAUAUUUUUAGUUAUCUUAAUCAAUAUUUUUUUUUAAUACCCCCUCUGCGUUGUUCACGUUGGCGAACAAAACACUCACUUCUCGCAUGUGCCUCGGGUAUUUUCGAAGGCGUCGCCCUCCUUAAGAUGUGACAGUAUGAAUGUGGUGCAGUAGUUAUUGUUCAGUUAGUAUAAAGAAGAAAAGUUUGUUUUCAUGUUAUUUUUAUGAAAAAAUGUUAGUACUACCUUGUAUAUAAGAAUUUUCUUAAUUAAACUAACCAAACAAUGCGGUGCAGUGAUUAUAUGGGCAACGUAAGAUCUUAAAAAGGGCGUCGUCUCCGCUUUUGGGCUUGGCCCUUACGAACAACUCACAUUACCAAUAUAUAACGCUAACGCACGCAGAGGAACGUUUAAAAAAUUUAAUUAUAUGAAUUUUUUUAUGAUCUUAAUAUUUUUAUUACAAAAUUUUUAAAAUAAAUGUUUUAAUCCAAAUAUGCCAUUUAUUUAAUGGCGAAAAUUUAUAUUAUUUUAUAAAAAAAUUUUAUCAUUUUAAUAAAACUUUUUUGAAGUUUAUAGUGAAUAAAUCAAAAUGUGAAAGAGUGAAACCAUGGUACCCCAAAUUGCACAUAGCUAAAUCGUAGAGCAACAAAGUAAAAAGAAAAAAAUAAUAGGAAGGUGAUUAAAAAAAAUAAUUUAAUCGCUGUUUUAAUUUUGAUUUUCCAUCAUUUCACUUAUAAGCUAUUUAGAGCUGCCCUAUAGACUUUUAAAAACAUAUAUUAAAUUGCUUUGUAAUUGUCUGCAGCUUCCUCAACUGCUUUUCUUUUUUUAUUUUGAUAUACCAUGAUUUAACUAUGUGAAAUUUGAUAUACUAUGAUUUUAUUUUUUUUAUACGUUUUGGUAUUCUUACCAUAAACUUUAAACAGAUUAAUAAAAAUCACAAAUUAUAAUAUGUAUAAAAUUUCAAACCUAUAUCUUUUAUAUAAUUAAUCCUAUUUUACCAUUACUAAGUGACAAAAAAAGAGUAAGCUAAUGAAAAAAAAGAGUAAACUAAUAACACAUUAUUUUUAUUAAAAUUAGUAGAUAAACGUAUUUUACGCUGAAAAAACCUGGUUUCAACUUAUCAAAACAACUUUACUAAUUAAACAAAAAUAAUAUCAAAAUAAAAAAUUUUUAAUAAAUAGAUAUCAUAGCUGGUAUAAUUGAUAAAAAUAUGAUUUGACUAUAAAAUAAAAAAUGUUUAAAAAUGAAAUUGCUAUAGAUAAGCAGCAUUGUACGUACACUGACGUGAUCAUAAAUAUUUUUUGAAUUACUUUAAUUGUGAAAAAAAACACCCCCUUGAAGUUUAUGGGGGCACCAAAGCAUUAAAGAGUGAAAUCAUGGGAUACCAAAUUUCACAUAGUUCAAUCAUGGUAUACUAAAACGUGGAAGAGUGAAAUCAUGGGAUAUUAAAGUUCACAUAGUUCAAUCAUGGGACACCAAAGCGUGAAAAGGUGAAAUCAUAGCACACCAAAUUAUGAAGCAAUUUAAUAUAUGAAACUUUACUUAUUAUUUUUCUCUUUUAACUUUGGUGUCCCAUGAUCAAACUAUGUAAACUUUAGUAUAUCAUGAUUUCACUUUUUCACGCUUUGGUAUACCAUGAUUGAAUUAUGUGAACUUUGGUGUAGCAUGAUUGAUGUCCCCAUAAAUUUCAAAGGAAAAAGGAAAAAAGAAAAAAGAAAAAAGAAAAAAAAAAAAAAAAAAAUGCUCACGUGGAGUCGUCGUCGUCGUCUUUAAACUUAGCUCAGGCAUGUUUUAGCGAGGAGGAAGAGGAGGCUGCUCAGUGCUCGACGACACAUUAAAAAAAAAAACUUUUUUUUUUCUUCUUUUUCACGGAGCAGAGGAAGGGGCGACGCGGUAGGUAUAUACGAUGUAGAGGUAGAGGUAAACGGUUUCAUGAAGAGCUUCAAAGCGCUUGUUGUUUCUCCCCAACCCCUCCCCGGCUCCCCCUCCUCCUCCCCCUCCCCCAAGCAUCUACCUCAAGUGCCUGCGCAUGUUCGUUUGCCCCGGGACGUCGAAGAGGGGGCUGAGGGCGAAGGAGCGGGAGCGGCAGCUAAUAGCGGAACAGUAGGCGCUGCAGCAGAGGGAGUUCCAGGGGGGGUGAGGGGGGGGAAGCGGCAAGAUCCCAAUCCCAAAACGUCAAGGACAACGUACGUAACGUAACAUAUGGGGACAAAGAGAGAGAAUAGGCCUAGUCGCGAAGCUCUAGCAUUGAUCUCAAACCUAGAAGUUUAAACGACCUAAGACUCCGCUAAUAUCAAAAACCUACGUCUACAUUAAAAUACCAAUUACAUCGGGAUGAUUGAUCACAAAGGGUAUUACACUUAGGUCACAGGCUAACGCUACUUACGUAACACACUUGUUUUAGACGCUGACGAAGAAACCUCUAAGUUAGAUUCGCAUCAGAUUCACAAAAACCUUCAAUGUUUUACGUCACGAAGGAUACAAACCUAAGAGCCAGACGAAACUUAGAGGAGAUUGUUGGCUAGACUUAUUAGAACGUAAAGCGAACUAUCUUUCUUUACGACCUUGUCUUCUUCAGUGGUUCACAAUCUAAGAAACCUCUUAUACCACCGCUACUCAAAUGUCAUUGUAUAACAUAGUUUGGCAAAAACAAUACCUUAAAACGAUUGAACGUUAACCUUUGUUAAUGUUAGAACAAUCCAUUCCGUAUUACUUUACCACCUGCGUAACGUAUUAUAACAAACAAAUCUCGCUACGCGUUUUAUACCCUAGUGUUAGUGAUUCCGUUUGGAAGACGCAGCUUUGGGACGAUAGUCUAAUUUACGUUAUAUAGGUUAAAAGACAAGGGGAUUAUUAAUUUAAAUAGGUACAAAAGGGAUGAACCACAUCCACCAGGUUGAUAUAAGUACACAGCUGUUCUAUUCGAUGCAGCUUACCCGGGGACUAAGGCUCAUGUAUGAAACACCAGAGGUAUUCUCCGGCUACUAUGUCCGCACCAGUAAUUCGGUCGGACUCACCUGAACAUUUUAUCUGCUUCCGGGACGGCCAUAACGAAUACGGUCCACCUCGGGACUGUCGGCCGUAUAUGAAUGCUGUAGUCUCAAAGUCGAUGCACAAUGGCAAACCAGCGACCACUUAUGACGUACGCAUGUACAGGUCACCGGUUUCGUACGGAGGUUCCCACAAAGAAAGUGGGUUCUACCUUUCAAACGUCGAUAGACAUGUUCCGCUCUAACGUUCCUAAUGUAUUUGGAGGAAAGGACAGUAAGAACCCUUUAGUACCCACAAAAACGACAACUAUGUUAUCUAAACCGUCCGCAACUCACCAGAGGGCUACUAUCACGAUAGCAGCAGACCCUAAGCGAAGAACUUAUGUUCCAUGAGUGAAAAACUGUUAUUUGACAUUACCACUUUGACGAAUAAAACUAAGUGUAAUGAAGCAAAUGCAUCUUAUACGAACACAAGUUGGUAAAUAAUCGUGUUCGAAAGGAACUUCAGAAUUAUAGUAACAAGUCCAAGUAAGGUCACAGAUCAAAACAUUUCUGAACACAUGUAAGAAAUAACCGUAACACAUGCGAAGACCAAGAAAUACAAGAUGAAAGAUGGUGAAGUAGUACGUCAAACCUAUUCGUAGAUAGUAGGUACGUAUCUUUUUUUAACAUCGAAGUUGAUCAUUCAACUCACCGCAUAACAUAUGGAUUAACAGACCUAUUGUUAUACGAUCUAUUAGUUGAUUGAAUCUCUAAUAUACAUCCGAAAACCUCGAUUAAGACAUAUAUAGUGUCCAAGAUUAGAUAAGAGGUCUACCCUCUACGAAUAAGUUUAUAGUUCGUAUACUUUCACCCAAUCCACACUUUUGACAACGGACCAGGGGGACACCCGUUAAGAAUCGUCACCCAUCAAUACUAGUCCGUCAUGCCUGUAACUUGGUAGACUGUACCUUUUGAAAACGCCUUAAGUACGUACAUCGUUGGUAAGCAUCGGGGACAUUACGAGGACAAAAGUUCCAUCUGUAUGGAGAAGUUCUAAUAAACGAAGAAGAAAUUAUAAAGAAAGAAGAACUCUACAAAGAGACUCUUCGUAUCAAAUAUAAAACUUACAUCCUUCAGCUACUUGGGAACGUUGAACUAUACAGGCUCAAUACAAACUUACUCCUGAAAGGUGUAUUGGAAGUUCUGUUAACAGGACCACUCUUAACCGUAAGUGAAAUUUCGACUUUCAAAUAAAAUGUAUACCACUACUACCAACCUAAUGAUUCUGUAAUCAAGGUCAUAAAACCUUUUCCUAAAAACGAUUGACUUUGAAAAAACAUAAUGUUUGACACCUGAUAUAUUCAUUAUGAGUGUAGUAGUUCUUACAUUACACUGUACCAAAAUAUGGUGACAUGGGUAUUCUAGACUAAUGUUACAAAAAGAGGAUCGUUUUUUGAAAAACGGUGUUUUGCAACUGACCCUUUCUGUGGAAUUAAAGAUUACAAAUCGGUUAGAUGAAUAAAAUCACUCUUUUAGAUCGAAAACUCUUCUAGAUAGAAAAGAAAACUUUUAAAAACUCCUUUAUUUUACGGAUACAUCCUCAUUCCCUCUCUUAUGGCUAGAAUAAUCAGUGUGCCAAAAGACAGAAUCCCCCUACUCUAUACACUACAAUGUAUUAACAGAUUUUAGUACUCCAUUUAUGUUGUCAUUCAUGACCAAUACACUAAUUUGGACGUCUUGAGAAAGUAAAAGUACAAGCUUAUACCAACGUACGAACAGUAGGAUGAUGGUAUUGUACCAGAGACAGUCACAACCGAAUUGUAAUCGUUGACUAGAAAAUUCUAAAAAAACGUCUUUCACGGCGUCUUCCUUUGAGGUCUCAAUUCAUGUUUCAUUACCUAGAAGGUUGGUCGAACGGUAGUGUCUUCGGUUGUUAUCUGUUCGGUUUGGGGUUUGUUCCUCAACCAAUCGAAGAGUAGGAAGCCAAGAGAGUACGUUGAAAAAAAUAGAAAAAGUGAAAAAAGUAGAAAAUCUCCUUAAAAGUAUUCCCCUAAGAUUUAACAACUGGAACUUGAGUAGCCGAAAAAACAAAGUCUCUAAUAGUAUAUAUCAUGGAAUAAUAUUUUUCAAUAGUAAGUAGUAUCGUUUAACGUAGGUCGAUAAUGAAGACUAAAAGUGACAUGAAAUGAAGUACGUCAAAAAGUAUAUUUAUGAAGAACGUGUAGAGAAGUGCACCUACAAAGACUUUUGCGUUUAGGGCUGGUUCAAGAAACUCAACACGUCCAGACAACGUUACCUCGUUACUAUCGGUUAUGGAGAAGUGCGCAUUACUGUUGUACGGUUGACGUGAAACCUAUACCCUAUAGACGGUGGAACUCGAACGACGUCAGAACCACGUCUUUCUCGGCUAGUUCCGACGCCGUACCCUCGGCUGAAAGGGAGCACAGCAGGACACGUGUCCCUCGAGAGUAAACAUAUACACCUCGGGUUCGCCUCGAACGACACAAUUAUAAGGUAACGGUUUCAAAUUGUAGACACUGGAUUUUACCUUACGCCUACCCGCAACAGAGGAGGAGUUCCUAGCUCUUAGGAAGACGACACGACGUCAACAGAGACACGACGGUCUGAGUCGCCUUCUAUCAAGUCUACUACUCAUUCCAAGAGAAAAUACACGAAAAAAAAAAAAAAACACCACAAUAAUACUCCUCUAAAUUUAUACGAACAAAGACGUACAUCGAAACAACAUGAUAUCAAGACGAUUUUAUGUUUAGUUCCAAUAAAACACAGCUUUUAUAACCAUCUUUUUGCGGCGUACGUGUUUAGAGGGGUAGUAUGACGAUAAAAACGUGAAGUCGACUGAAAUGAUACCCGUUAAUACGUUAUCCAAGGAAUUUGAAAAUAAAAAAUUUAACUCUGUAGGAGUUGAAGGUCUGAAAAAAUUAACUCAAAAACACGAAUCAAUAGAAUUUUUUAAUCAGUUUAAAAAUAUUGAUGAUUAAUUAUUAUCAAUCGAUCAGAUCAAAAUAAACGAGUUUUGACAAUAUUUUAAACCACUUUGGUGGCCACUUAAACUGUGUGACGGAAGAAAAGACUUAUUUUAGUGAACGAAGAUUUUUUUUAAUGAUCAAUUCCUCCAGGGUUAAUUUUUUUCCUUUUUUUUUUUGACUCCCUAGAUAAAAGUACAAAAGGAUAUCAACUCUUCUAGAGGUAUGUUAAAUUGGAAAAAGGAUGUAAUAAUAUUGUGUUCUUUCUUUUCCUUUCUUUUCUUUUCCACAGUCGCCAGUCUUAGAAGCUAUGGUUUGUAGGACCACUCCCCGCUGAAUCAUCGGGUUUAUAACGGUUAUUCGCAUUUAGGUAUUACUAAUCGUUGUACACACCUCGGUUUAUUUUGUUAUGAAUGUAUAUCAUAGUAGAAUGCAACUAUUCUUUUACGAUUUAAUUGCUUACUGGAUGUAUUUAGGUGGCGCAUCUUUUUGUGAUUCGUGUGGUUGAGAGGGUGUAGGGACCAGAUAUAAGCAUUGACUGUGUCCCAAAGCUCUGCAUUGUGAUGUUGUAAUCGUUAUAUGUUUGUCUACUGAUAUUAACGAGUUCAGUUAUUUACAACAAGUUAAACUUUGGGUAAUUUAGUUGAAUGGUUGGCGAGAUGUGACUCACCCAUCUAGUUGUAUGAGAUAAUAUAGUGAGGACCCUGCCUUCGUCUCAUUAUAAGGAACUACGGUGACGUGGUCAUUGUUAGAGGGUUCGUCUACUUUUACUAACACGGCGUCUGACAACAAAUCUCAUGAAGAAGCCGGCAAACAGGUGGUUCAUGCCGUGCUAUACGAGAAAGUAUAGUGACAACCUCUAAGAGUUUACUGGAGGAAAGUGCGAUUACUUAAAUUGAGCGGGUCGAAGUAGGUCUCGAAAGUUUGGAUAGGUCAGAAGACACAUCUCACACCAGACGUUCUUGUCAUUUAAAACACUCAAAAUUCCCGUGUUUUUCUCCUGUCUUUUACGGUACUAAGGGCACUUAAAUUCGUCCUUUGCCGGAUCACACGCUCUUUACCGAAUUCUCUGUAAGUAGAUUGCAUCGAACCCUAUCGACAGUCAACGCUGCUUGAUGGCCAGUUAUUUCGUUGUUUUAAAAGUUAAAGAUGUCUUAAACGGAUUGUCUCUGACGUAGAGUGUCGUUCAUGCGUUUAGGGAAAGAUGUCUGUAAGUUAAAAUGUUAGUUAAUGGAUACCUAUGUUUUUUAUUUUUUUUUGUGUGGAGUUAGUUUACUCUAUAAUAGUUUACAUUUUAAGUUUGUUUAGUUAGUUUUACACUAUACGUAAAGCCGUUAUUUUCUCCUCUUGCGAUGGACAACACCUCCGUUUUGACCCGAUUUCCGUGGUAGUCCUAUCAUUGGUUUGGUUCGUCAAAGGGCUCCAUAGUUCUGAUAUAGCAAGAGUUUGAUAAUGUUUCUGUCUCUACUAUUAGUCGUUUAAACCAAAAGUCGUCCUACCUUAUCUUUACUUGGUUUUUAUUAUUACACUGUUUCACCAUCUAUUUUAAGUUGUCCAGGGUCUAAUUUUUUAUUAUAGUGUCUGGUGUAUAUAUAUAUAUAUAUAUAUAUAUAUACCCUACGUAUUUUCCAGCGAAAGAACUUGAUUGGUAAUAUUCUUGGUUUCAGAGGUUCGAUGACUUAGAAAGAAACAUCCAUCUUAAGGAAAACAGACCUUAAAGUAACAAAUCGGAACCUUCUUUGGACGUGGGAAGGUUUAUUACCCUUUAUAGGACCUCUUUUGUCUAACUAAAACAAUAGACGAACGAAAGGAGUCAAGUAUUACGACGAGUAUUACGUCGUAGAUCAACACUGUAUCUAUCAUUAUCCUUCUCUUUUACUAUUAUGUUGAUGGCCUUCAUCUUGUAAAGACUUUAAUAUAGAGUGUAAAAUCACGUUGACAAGGUGUUCCCGUUCGGUUUUUGUUUCCUUUUUUUUUAGAGUCUUGCAAAUCUCCUCUAAUAGGUAAGUUAAGAUGUAUACUUGAAGGAAUUAUAAAAAGAAGUACUUUUAUACAGGCAUUGAGUCGUCAUUUGAGAUGGGUUUUCAUCAAUAUAAUUGGCCCGAUUUUCAAUGUCAGAGAUAUUUUAUUGUUCUCAUCGUAACGAUUCUGUCUAUUCCAUCGAAAUCAAAACACUAAAAUUGUAAUGUUCUACCUAUAGUAAGCGAAUUAUACCUCUUUUAAAUUCAUAAUCGACAGAUCUGUGUGAUUAGAUUAACUAGAUCAAAGUAUCAUAGUAACGAAGAUUGAAGACGUUUAAAAUGUGAUCAGUUAUGUACCACAUUGUGGACCGUUCACACGAUGGCACGUAGAUCUCAGAUCCAAACCCACAAUUGCUGAUCAUGAUAAACUUGAAACUUUGGUGGAACUAUAGUCAAACUAGUAGUCAAUUCCCCAGACUAGUAGUAUCAAUGAGUGACACGCGUAAUAUGAGACUUGUCAAAUCAUUAACGAUGAAAGGUACUCCCCCAUUUAAUGAUGUUUACUAUUUAUUGAUCUUGAAAAAGAGUGUCUGGUACAAAGUCGAUGUUUGUGUCCAUUAUUUUUGGUUAUUUCCCUUUUUUUUUUUGUCUUUGUCUUUGUUUAUGGGUGUCAACCUUAGAACUCUAUUGGUGAUCCCCGGUCUACAAGGACAUUAAAUAGUCAGACUUCAAUCAGGAGUUUUGCUACGAUCGUAAGGUUGUUUAGUAUGUCUCGUAAACUAAAUCAAUACUAAACCUUAAACAUAUAUGGACGUGUAUUAACCUUAUAUAGAGACAAAAUUCCUCCUGCAGUUGUUCUUGUGUAUACUAUGGUCUGACGUUACUUUGUUAUUACCUUUCCAUUCGAUCAACCAAAAAGCUUUCUUUUUAAUAGUCUAUCUUUGUCCUUAAGGUGACAGACGUUGUUUCUUCUACGUGUAUUAUCUUUCUCCAGCCAGAAUCAAGGAGGUCCCUACAGUUUAUUCUUUGUUUUAGGUAAAAAGAAACGGAAUUAUACCUAUGUAGAGGAAACAAGACCUUAACCAAUUGUUAUAAGUUUAUAGAAAGCUACUUUUACUUUAUAUCUCGUAUGUACCAUUUGUUAGCUUUUUGUAUUACGCGAAGUCUUUCGAAUGUGGUGUAUUACCGUGUCUUCGUCAUGGGCGUUCUCCUGGUGGGUUACUAUACUUUAAGAAGUGGACAAUCGUUAAGAAGUUGAUUGAAAGUAAUCUGUUAAUAUAGAUUUCGAAUUAGUUUUCUUUAUAAUUUUAAGAAGUAGACGUAGUUUCUAUCUCGACUAAAAUUUAUCACGAUUAUUUAUAGUGUAUACCUAUUACCUAGCUACUUUUACAUGUCUUUCUUGUGGGAACAUGAGUAUACCGUUAACAUACGGGCUUACUUAAGGUUAAGAAGAUCAUUGUAAUAUAAAAUAGAUACUGACUUUUAUAGACGUUGGUGUCCUCUCUGUAAUAAGAGGACCCUGUAUAUACGCUUCAGUGGUGAAAUACACGGCGAUACCUUGUUCAUUAGUAUGUACUCCGUGGGUGUUUGUUUUGUUCACGUGCCCUGUGGUGUAUGUUUGGUUCUCUAACUCAUCGAGUAAAGCCUGACAAACGUUGUUUCCGAAGUAUCGUCCAAAAUGACUCAUACCAAGACAGUGGUAUUCAGGUGUUAGAAUGUACGAAUAUUUAAUUAGAGGUCAAACAAUGUUUUUUCAGAAGUAAGUCCUUCAACUAUAUAAAAGACUAUGAAGGAAAAUAUGAUCGUUCUAUACUUUGAUGGUGCCUGUUCGUUUUCUCCCAGUAUGAUUUAAGUAGAUUCAUUAUUUGAUGUUAUUUACUUACCAGUCCACCGUCAUACUAAUUAGACAUUUCAUCCUGUAUUAGUGUUCACACGAAAUAAAUAAUAAGUCUAAGACCGUUCGGAAUCCUUCAGUUAUUGAUGUAUUAUCGGUAUUAUUUCAUUUAGUUCUUAUUAACGAUGUACUAGCUUUCAUUUACUGAGACACAUGAUUCGUACAGGAAUUUAUACGUUCAAGUAUUCCUUUCGACGAAACACGGGUAAAUUAAUUAGAUCGUGGGUACAACAGUUUAUGACGAGACUGUUGGUCUUUUAAUAAGAUACAGGAUAUACAUGUUAUCCAUCUAUAAACAUUGUAGUGAAGAGGGAAGUAAAACCUUGUUUUUACCUAUGUUCCGUAAUUUUUUUUUCAUUUAUUUAUUUAUUUUACUUACUAUUCUUGAGCAUGUCCUCCAGGCGGUAGUGUCUUGAGUUGAUGACGAGCUGGUUAGUUUAAUGGGACAUCCAUUGUUUAGUGUUCCUUUUUCCAUUACAACGAUUUUUACCUGUUGUUUUCUUGACUUUUGUCUAUGGAGUUGACAACUAUAGAUUCAAGUUUCCUGUCAUGUUGUAGUUUGUGUGUAUUAUUGUCGUGUAUUUUCAUUUGAUUGUAAAAAACAACUACAUUGUCUUCUUUAAUAAAACCAAAUCUGUAGUCACAUUUAGGACUUUUCUUUAAAUAAUUUUUUUUGAUGAACGUUUAUGUCAACUAUUAUAUUCAUUGAUAGCAUGGGUUGUACAUACUGCAUGUCAAAGUCCUUUUGCGUACGAUUCUGUUCAAUUUUUUCUUGUUCGUGGGUUUUCCUUCAUGGACUCUAUCCGGUUGAUACAACAUUGGGUACGAUUCAAGGAGGUAAAGAAAGUGGACGGUCACACUCCUAUAUAUCCUGUUUAUGUUAUAGUGUUAAAAUUGUGAUAAAUUCUUUAGCUUUCGUCAUUUGUAAUGGUUUUGUCUACUUAGUGGAAGAGUGUUUGUUAUAAUCGGACGUUUCUACGUAUUAUAAUUUAUAGUCUCUGUGUUGUAUUGCUUUUGGAAAUCGUUCCAAGUAUAAGUAGACUAUCCUUUUAGUUGGACAAGGACCUCCCCGGACUCGGUUCUCAGGUAAUGAGGUAGAGGUUAAAGAGACGUUUCUCUACCGUUCGAAUUAAGUUUUAAACGUUCUCUCUACACAAACUUUUCUGUGUUCGAUUACCCAACCUAUGACCAAUUAGGUAAGGUUCAGUAGUCUCGUCUUAGGAUUUUCUCUCGUCUUUUGUUUUAGCGCUAAUGCUGUAUGUAUUUGUAGUUAAGUGGGUAACAACAAAGUAUAAAUGCGUAUUAAAUCAAGUUUUCCUGCUCCAUUAAGGUCAAAGACUCCUUUAGUACGAUCCAAAGAUAUCGUUUUAACUAUAGUUUACCAAAUUCGUUAGUUCUUGGCAUGUUCGUCAUAGGGAAUCUCGGUCUGGUGAGCGAGUCUUCGAGGCACUUGACGCAGUGGGGAAACAAGUGCGUGACUAGGGGUUAAGGAUGUUGGUUUCUUCUUGGGAGCUAAUUAGCGAUGUGGUCGAGUUAUCGUUGUUUUCUUGGGAGUUAGCUGUGCUUAUCAACUUCUUUGCUUGGUACGUUCUGUUACUUCCCCUAGCUCCUGCUCCGAACCUAACUCUCCUGCUUCUGCUGCUGCUGCUCCUCCUCUCUUUGCCGGAAGCUGUCAACUUAGCGGUAAUAGCGGGGUUAGGAAGAUCUUAAAUCCCGAGGAGAAGCUAGCCUUAGCUCGCCCCUGCUCCCCUAAGAAAAAGGGGGUUGGAGAGAAGGAGCAGGCUCUCCCCGCUGCUCACACCUGGACACCAUCUCCUCUCUCGUACCCUCGCACAAGCAGCUCCUCUCUCCCCAUAAAUCACAGUGGCGAAGGGCCCCAGGGCCACUGUAUUGGCAUGUGCGCGGAGCACCGGGCACAAUGCUUUAUGCCAAAGAAACUUCUCCCGCAUGUGGUUGUAGUAAUCUCACCAAUUUUAGUGGCGGGUGCCAGCCAUUCGCAUGUGGUCCACGCUAUAAAACUCCUGGCGCUUUUGGGGUUACAUUCUUUGAAAAUAAAUAAAUAAAUAAAUAAAUAAAUAAAUAAAUAAUAAGAAACUUGGUUGACCUCUACGGUGCACAGUACUACAGUAUGUAAAGUUUGCUCAAAUUGGCACGCCCCCCCCCCGACCCUUCCAAUAAUCAACUCUCAUAAGAAAUUUUCCUUUUAUUAAAAGAUCGACAUUUUAAUAAAAAAUAGAUUAAACUAAAAAUUUAUUAUUAAAAAAUAUCUUAAAAAAAAAAAUCUAUUGCUAGAAAAAUACAAAGAAGUUCUUUGGUUUAUGGGCGAUUAUUCGGUGAGAACGAAGAAUGUCUUCGAAGAGGGCAUCUUUCAAAGGACCACGAAGAAUUGACCCACAUGGUAUCAGCAAUCUCACGUGCCUCGUAAUAGAGAACAGUAAAUUAACUAAGCGUUGGCUCAAAUCAUGCCGUGUCUAUUAUAUAUUUACGAGUCAUGGUUAUAACUAAUAAAGCCACGUUACUCCUCGAGGUUCAUCUAUUACUAUCGCCUGGACGAGCUGCAAUUAAAGCAUAUUAUUAUUAUUGCUCGAGGUCCUCUGCUUGUACAUGAUACGUACACUUGACUUGGCUUUUCAUUUUCUAGCAUUUUAACAUUUUAGCGUAAUCAACGCACCCAUUUUAGUGUCCAUGUGUUGAAUGGUCUACCCUCUUACCCAUUUACGCGUCAGGGACACUAGACUUAGGGGAGACAAUUUUCUCGACGUGUUCCUUGGACUUUUGUUGGUGUUUUAGUUUCUUUCCCAGUUAACGGCGUCAAGAAAUUUUUCCUUCUAUGAUUGGAUUGAAUAGUUCGGUUAAUUAGGUGGGAACUCAUCCAAAAGGGGUAUAAUCGUCAUUUUUUACUGACGUUUAAUACCCUUAGUACGUCACGUUUUCUAAAAUGAGGCUGCUCGCUUUAAGACUUAAUUCUGUACAGUCAAUUCUAGUACUGUCAAUUCUAAUUAUCCAUAUUCUUGUGGACUUCUAACAAUAUUUAAAUGAGCUUGGACCCCGCCGCAAGAAGUCUCGUCUUGUUAGACCACAUAUAAGAAGAUAAAAACGCAUAACUGAAAGUACACAUAAAACUUUUACUUUACUUGUUUAGAGUCGUGUUAAGAGAGUCUGUUUGACAAGCUGAAUAGCGAACUUUAUAGGUAGACGAUUUGACCGACCGGCAUAAGACGCUAAACUUUAGGAAUGAAAGAGGAGGUAUAAGAGGAACCGGAACACGAAAAGUAGAAAAGGUCACGUAAAAUUCGUAAUUACUUCUUUUUCUUUACUCGAAGAAUUGUUCGUCACUUGACUCUAAGGGUGAGGAGAAGAGAAACCGGAAAGUAAAGAUCAACUUCCGUGGAAUUGUUUGACAUGUGUCGGAGGGUUAGUCUUUUUCGAGACAGUGGACUCUGUUUGAGGGUUUGGGACAAAGGUUGGAGGUGUUGUGAUGUGGGUCGGAGGGAAAACGGGGGGUUGAAGGAGUGGAGAAGGAACUGGGAAAGGUGUAGAGGGGUGGCGAAGAAGGGCCGUAUUUCUAAGGAGUAAUAGUGUAUUAAGGAGCGUAAGGGCCCAAGUUAGAGAAGACGGGAGAAGUAGUGGGAGAGACGGGAGCGUUGUAGGGGCAUUGUGGGCGUUCGUUUAUCGUUGCUCGAAUUUUGAUAGGGCAACUGAGGUUUCCCGUAAAGCAGCUGGUUGAAGAGCCGAAGCAGAUUUAUGGGUGGAGCAGGGUUUUCCAGGUGGUACGUUGGCAUUACAAGGUGAGAGAAUGUUUGUGGGUUGUAAAGGUAGAGGGAUUUGGUGAAAGAGGGAAGAAGCUGUUCCGGGCGUACCGGCGUCCGACUAUCCUGGGGCUAGUAGCAGUGCGGUAAACCCCUCUUGGGAGAGGAGGCGUAAAGUAAUUUGUGCAGUUCGCGGAGAAGCCGUUCCGGUAAAUCCCGUUUGGGUAACUAGUGUCGUAAGGUCCUUCGCUAAAGGAACAAACCGUUAACCAACUUGUCUACGAAACGGAGCGUCUACAGAGGCGUAAAACGCAUGUACAGUUGCUCACGCCACUGAUAUAAUCAGGAGACCAGCUUUGGGAAGGAAAAACGCAUCAACACAUAGGUUGCUGGUUCUAGCUAGCGUGGGUACAGCCUCUAACGUCCCUACUACGAGUGUUCGCAGUGACGCAGGCCGAGUUUACCUGUACUUAACCUGACGUCAAGAGACUUUUCUAGGUCUCGGACGACACUGACGGAUAAGACCGUCAUGGGUGGUUAGUAGUGUAAGGUUCUCAUCUCUAAAGAAUGCCCGUAAACUAGUUUGUCCAGAGAGCGUCGGAGGCAUAAGGGUCAGAACGUUAUGGGUGUAUAGUUUGAUCAGGUCCUGUGGUGUAAAGGGAGGCCGUGGACAAGUUUGUCGGCCACCCGGCUAAGGUAUAGCGGGUUAAACCACUUUUGUAGCUAGUAUCGCAACUUACGGCGACAUAGGAAUAGUCCAUAGUUUCGUUUGUCGAGGUAUCGGCUCGAUUGAAGUGGCAUAGAUCGUAUUGGUUGUUGGUAGCUUCAGGUACUACGAUUCGAAGAUACUCCGUAAAGUAGCUUGUGGAAGAAUCGUCACAGGUAUAGCGGACGAAAGCACAUGUAUAGUUCGUUACGCCACCUCCGCUUACACAGCGUCUUCUUUGGGUAAAACUAGUGUACCCAUACCUCGACGAGGGGAAGAGAGGCGGGGAGGCUCUCGCGCCGCCGCCUGAACUCCUCGUUCCCCUUCCACAUGAGUAGCCCGCUCUUCCCUCUCGUUAACCCGCCGCUUCCCGGAGCGGCCUCCAGCGCCAUCUCCUUCUCCCGUAGCGACUUCUCCGCCGCUGCCUGCUCCCGCGCCUCGUAACGCUGCGUCUCCCGCAGCAGGACCCGCCGCGCCGCCAGUUUCUGUGCCGCUCGCACCGCCUCCCGGCUCCCCCGCCGCCUCUCGCUCCUCUACUCCGCCCACUCCUCCCCCUCCAAUCUCACCUCCUCCGGUACCGCCUCCUCCUUCCGCACCUAAACCUCCUCUCCUCUCUCCGUGCCCCUCCGCGGCGCCUCCUCCCUCUUCGUCUAGGAGAGAAGCGCCCAGGUCUCCGCUAGUCUCUUCCUAGAAUGUCGUCACCUCCGCUUCUGGCUCCUCCUCCUCCUCCUCCUGUACCCGCAGCGGAGAGGACAGCAGCGCCAAGGUGUAAUCACCCUUUCGCGCUCGCCCUUAUAAACUUCGCCCUAUAAUUUAAUGGUUUAACUGGAAGGUCCCCAUUUUUUUUUUUUUAUAAACUUCUAAGUUUACGUUACCUUUCACUGAAAAUCCCCUCUUUACCGUGAUUUAUUAAAUUCAUGAUGCGAGGUUAGUUGUUUGUAGAAGUCCAUUAAGUGGAGGUUGUCGAUGCACCCCCGUCCUUUUCUUUUUUUUCCCUUAGUGUUGUUAAUGACGCUGUCUUCUUUGGCCUCUCCCCCCCCUCCCCCCCAGGUCGUAUAGUACACUCGGACAAGUAGUGUCUCACAUUACACCCAACUACCGUAAAUACAGGUCCGGAAACUCGAAUCGCUGUCUAAGGUGGAAGGGAAAGUCUCACACGUCAAGGUGGUUGGACGGUUCUAGUAAUGCUUAUUUAAAUGUUGAGUUUCCGUUUUAAAGUGGCGUACAUUUUGUCUAUUACAUCUUUCUUAUUGGAAAUACGAGUAAUUUUCUUCUUUGUGUUUGCGUUUAUCCUGGCGGCCAACGAGUUUAGAAACGAAUCAAAAUGACAUCAGGAGCUAAAAAUUUAAAUUAACAAAAUCCGUGAAGGUAAGAGUUGAAUAGAAUCUUACUCCUACUUCUGGGAGUCUCUUUUAAGAAACGAAGUCACAAAUGAGAGAAUAGGGCUCUCCACUUUAACCUGAGCUACAACACUCUCACUUAACGAUAGUCCAAAUGUUGUCACCGGCGAUAUAACCAAAAAUCAAUCAGUAUAUAUCCCAAAUUACUUUUCCCGACGCUAUUUUAGAACGCAAUCAAGUUUCUGGUUCUACUAAUCAAAAUUUCGAGCCCAAUAUUCACUUUGAAUCGUUUCCUCAAUUCCCUGAUAAACGUCCUACGUGGGGUCAUUUUCUCAAUAUACAUGCAGACAUCUUCCUGUAAUAAUAUUGGUCGUUUUCAGACGUUAUGGAACGCUAGAGACGAGCGGAAGACCGAAGAAGCCGGUAGACUAACAACAGUCAUUUUCAUUGAGAAAGACUCUAGUAAAAACCAAGGCGUCAAACGUCCGGCACGUCACAAGAAACGAGUGCCCGGGUUCGUCGGAGGGCUCGAAGGGCUGGCUUCAAAGAGACCGGUCAAUCACGAUGGACAAAUAUUACUGGCUAAGGUAGAUACUCAUUGUCAUUAUACCACAAUUUUCUUUUUCCAAAUUCACACGCAUCAUAAUAUCGGAAUAACGACAUAUUUAUCUCCAUUUAUUCCAAGAGUUUAUGAAGCAACAUCUUAAUACUCAAUUAUUCUCAAAUGAACGGAAGAAUAGUUCCUGUUCUAAGGUCCGAAACGGUGAUUCGCGUAUAGCAUGUGGCUCGAAUUAACCUAGUUCGUCCUAUAUUUACUAUUGUAACAUGCGGGUUUAUCGGGGACAGGUUGCGGUUGGUUAACGAGACUAAGGCUAGUAGAAGCUUCAGUGACAACGUCGAUAGUGUGAUCGUUAGACGUAAUCAAAUGUUUGAGGUGAAAGUAACAGUGCUUUUUCUUUUGUGUUGUUAAGUAAAUAGAUCGAGAAAAGCUAUGUAAUUAUAACAAAUUUACGGGUGUUUUCCCAAGAGUAUGAUAUCGUUACGUAUAUCAAAUACUUCCGGUGACGUUGGUACACUUUUCUCAUUUACUUUUCUUUAUACUAAAUUUAAAAGGUAUGGAGCAUCCUAUUCUUAUUCUCACUAACGAUAAACUUUUCCAGAAUGAUACCUAAAGGAAUGGUUUUAUUAUUCUCUCUUUCUGAUUGGUCAACUCGAUACUGUUUGCGUCGUUGUUCUUCUUCUGGCCCAGCGAGGUUCUUUCUGGUUGGAGAACUCGCACAGUGUUUAUAGUCUCGAACUGACUACCACGAGUGAACUUCUAUGUUUCGUCUUCGAUUGAAGAGACACGACGGUUUAUAGUUCAGGAACAAGCUAGAUAGAUCGGACACAUACAAAUCUCAUAGUUGGAACUUAUACAAGACGUCCGUAACAACCUUUUUUUUUUUCUUUCAUAUAUUCACUACUAUAUGAAUCAACGUUUUCGGACUCCAUCUUUUUAGUAAAUUGAAAAAAGUAACGUGUAAGAAGUAGAUAUGUCCCAUAGUUAUGACUUAUUAAAUGACUUUCAACUAUAUUACAAAAAUGAUUGGUGUUUUAUAACAGAGAGUACUCGACGGGUUAUCUUGUUCUGCCAGCAUUCUCGGUCUAUACUUGGUUAUUGAUAAGGUCAACGUUUUUAGAGCCUCUCAAAGGUUGAUAGUCCGUAACCUCUACCGAAAUGGGACAGGAAACUAUAUCAGUACUAUCAUGGACUUUUAUUUGUGUCCUUACUUCCCUUUUAACUUCUUUGAGUUUUGCCGUCUAUGUUCUACCUUUGAACUUAAAUUUUACUUAAAAAGAAUGGUAGCAAUUCCUAACGUUAGUGUUCUUGGUACUUACCUCCUUUCAGCUUAAAGGUAUUCUGUAAUUCUUCGUAUUUAGGUUCGACAAUGUGUUUUUAGGACUCUACAGUUCCUCUUCGUUUUCGUGUCGUACCGUUCGUGGUAUAUCAUGUCUCAUGUACUGUAUUAAAUGUCCGCAUAGACAAAUAGUUUAAAUAGAUUUAAUAUUACACUCUUUAGUGAAACUAAAACACGUCCUCUUUUAAACUUUCUCCGUACUAAGUUUUCAAGUUUCCUUUAUCCUUCCCGAUUAACAUUUUAUAUAAAUCUUUUUGGAAUUUAAAACGUCAGAAUGGUGUUAUGCUUAUCAAUAACUAUGACGUAUAUAGACGUGCUUCUUGUGUCUUUCCGGUUGUAGUCAUAAUGUUUUGGUACUCAAGAAAGGAUGAUAUUAUCUCUUCGAUAAAUAUCAAAAUAUGUAUUAUUUUUGUCCUUAAUAUUAAGUGGGGUUUAUCUUUGAGGACAAAAUGUCUAGUAAAUCUGUGUGUCACGGAUAAAUGGCAUAUUAAAAAGUAAGAGACCUUUUAACGAGCCGAACAGUCUUGGCGUGAAUAAUAGUGCGAGUUAGGUCCGAGUCAUUCUUGUUACAGUCUUCGUGAAGCUCGUCGCAGUCAGCGUAGACGGUGCCGUUAAGGUUAUAGGCGGAAGAAAUCACGUCCACGUAGCAACUGAGGUAGAGGCCAGUAGGGUGUAUACACGAAAGACCGAACAUCAGACGAUUGAUAAAGUAUGAACACGAGAUAUCUCUUUAUUUAGUCUAUAUCGUUCUUCGUCUAAGUCUUAUACGUCGUUAAAUUUCACCUAUAAAUUAAUGGUCCUUUUUGGGGUCGUUUUGGUAGUCGAAAGAGUUAAUCGAGUAGUUGGCCUUCAUGACGUUAUAGAGGUAGUAAAAAGGGUGGGUUAUUUCUACUUCUACCUAUGUACAAAUACGGGUAGGGCUCGGAGGCGGGACAGAGGAACCGUUAACGGUUAACUAGUGGACAUUUACCAGGUCCUUCUCUUCAAACUUGUUAAUUAAAGUCUUUAACCAAGCUCACUAAAUCUUCAUAAUUCUAUGCAGUUCAAGGUUCCAUUAUCUAAAAAAGACGUGGACACUAGUAGAAGUGUGAGUGAGGCUCUAGUUCUCGAGAUGCCUAACAAAGUCGUGAUAGUACUGCUCCUCCUAGUUUUUCUCCCUCUUCGGGCUACUUAAGGGUCCCAGGGGGUCCUGACAGAAAUCAUGGUCGUCCAUGAAGGACGUAUUUUUUUUUUCUUUUUAUUUUCUUUAUUUAUUUAAUCCACUUAGACAGUUGUAUUUUUUUCUUUAUCUGUCUUAAUUCUUCUCUUACCACUUUUUCGACUGAUUGGACUAUCCGUUGUCGUUCACUGGCUUCGGGAGAAAGUCGUUUAGAUAGCUAAUAAGGUACGUGGAAGAAAAGUUAUAGUCGGAAUAAGGUGCGUUCUAAUUCUUAGAUGUUCUAUCUAUUGAUCGAAAGUUAUCGUGUAUUUCACUUACUAAUCUCUCCCAAUAUAGAGAAGUCAAAGGAGGAUAAUCAAUACUCUUUACCUCCAGAUAGAUAUUCUUUCAGGUCGAAUAGAAUCGACGACGUUAAAUGUCACAGUAUAAACAUAAACAUUUGUUGUUUUACUCUAAACACGUAUUAAAAGUAGUGAAACAAAGUCAAACUACCUAUUUUAAAAAAAUUAUAGUUCGAAGUCUCCUACAUGUUCUUUUUUUUAGAUUAUGGACGAGUCCUCGUGGAAACGAGUGAGAUACGUAAAAUGGUCAACUUAGGUUCAUACAUUCUCGACAAGAGAACAGCCAACCCAACUUACCUUCCUUUACCUGGAGGACUUAGGGCCGUGCACGGAACACGUUGUAAUUUUGGUAACACUUGUGUUAAGUAUCUCUUUUUCUUUAUAUAUCGUUAUUCAUUUCUUGUUGAUUAGUUUGUUUUUGUCAGUGUUUGUAUACCGAAAAGUGCGAUAUUAUGAUUCCAUUUAUAUAAACGUAGGUAUUCAACUAAAUGAAACGGUAUUGUGGACAUAAAAAAUAUUCUAUUUACUUAUAUUAGUAGUUAUGUAUUCAUUUGUAAUGUGUGAGGACAUAAAGAAACAUUUUUAAAGUAACGUACUUUGUUUGUGUAAAUUCAAAGAACUCCCAUGUAGUGAAAACUUAAUUCUUUCGGCAUGAGAAAGUACUAAGUCACUCCUUUUGUUCAAUCCUUCGUCACGUUUCGAAUAGAAGGAGAUGGAGAAAUCCCAGACGAUCGUAACUUUGUUAACGCCGUAGUUAUCGUAGAACUAAGAGGUCGGAACUUCGAGAACGUCGGUAGUGCUGUUGAACUAGGAACAGAUGAAGAGAUCGUUUUUGGACUUCACUGUGCAAUUUAAAAACCACUACGGACGAGUUAGUGGAUAAUUGUUACUAGAAGAGAUAUCCAGGUCCUGUAAGGUUCAAGGUUUGGAGUAUUUUCUUCUUGUCGUAAUUCCUCUUCGAUCACUUGUCAACUGAAAAACUGGUGAUACAAAAUUAAACAAACGAAAAAAAAAUUAUAAAUGUCGAAUUUUUAAACUUUUAAAGGUUGAGUUAAUUAACUAAUAUCGUGACAUCUACCAAUUUUUAACGUAUAUAAGAGAUUACUAAAUCAUUGAAGUAAUUGGACCCUGUUUUGGGCUAUUAGCAUAAGAAAAACAAAUAGAAGAUGAUUCCUUCAAAGAAACAAUCCUUAGUAAAUUUGUUUUUUAACGUCUUUCAUAUUCUAUCGUUUUCUAACUCUGUGUCUUACAUAUUGGAGUUAGUAUAAGAACAGUUGACACUCAAACAAAUCACAGUUUCAAGGUCAAAAUAGUGACGUAUCAUGUAGGUAGGGUCGGUAAAGGAGUUAUCGUCAGUAAGAGAAACAAUACCGUGGGACUGUCCUUGUGCUUUCUGUCAACGUACGAUUGGUAUAAGUAUUUAUAAUACUAAAUAGUCUAAGAAGUUCUUUAGUAUAUGAUCUCUUUAUGCUUUAGUCUAUAAAACCCACGUUAUUGGACAACACGGUUCGCUACACUAGGUUAACGGUAACACUGACUUUCUUGACAACCGUACCGAUAACCUUAAGGAGGUUACUCAUCGUGUUCUUCCAAUAGUUACUAUCCCGCCAUAAAGGAGGGAACCUUUGGUCUGUAACGCUAUUAUAGCUACUAGUAAGGUUGUCGUUAGCUCGUCUAUGUCUUCAAAGGAUAACGUCAGUUGUGGACACUCAGUAGUUUCCUAAGAGUUAAAUAAUCCGUAAUGUUUAUAAAUACAAUUCAUUCUUUAUGAAUAAAAAUUUUUAAGUCGUAUUAUUAUACGGUUUAAAUCCUAAAUCUAACUCUUAGACGUCAGUUACCUUUCAAACUUACAAAUAAAUGAGAAAACUUCUUUCUUUGGUUUUCUCCGUUUCUUUCUAGUUUUAAGUGGAAAACCUUUACGGGUUAUACACAACAACUAAGAUGCUCUACUCGACGAAAAGGCUUCUUACAUACUUGAGGUCACCGUUACUGCUGACGAAGAUAAAGUGGAACGAAUGUACAACUUGGUCUCAUUUGUGGUAGGGGACCCAAGAAUCAAUGACCAUCACUAAGCGGGCAUUCACGUCUGACUUUUUAGUAAGUACAAUUGGCGUGUACAACUAGAGUCGAGAAUUUGGUUUUGACGUCGAAUUCAUUAUUAUCCGUGUAUUUCAUAUUAUAAAGUUACUCUUAAUUAAUUAUUACAGGUAACAGCCAAAUAGAAACGUUCGAGUCAGUCUUACUUUUGUUUAACACAUUUUUUUUGAACUCUUACUUUUUUUUUUUUAACACAUAGUUUAUCAUAGAGAAUAGCAGAUCUAUGACAAGCUCUUGAAAUGACAUUUUUAACUGUGGACAUAGUUCACCAAAUCGGUUUAACUUUUCCCAAGUUACUCCAUCUCUAUACUUCGAACCCAGAGCAUAUACCUCGUACGAUCACUGUUCCUACUCUUUAUUCGAAUCGAUCCAACACCUCUUUCGAUCACUAUUUUAAGAUGUUACUGUCCAUGUGAACUCGAUUAUUCAAUCGAUUAUUACAAGGCCGUAUCAUUCACGUUGGAAGUAUCUUCUAAAGAAUCAGAACACAACGAAGUUUCAAAUUGGAUCUGGUAUGAAGUGAACAUAUAAUUGAAUCGAUCGUUAGUUACAUCGAAAAAAUGUACAUUUUAUAAACACGUUAUACUAUAGUAGUUUUCUAGAGUACAAUAGUGUAACAGUUAAUAUAGUGCUACUGUUAAAUUUUCCACUCCUAAUCCGUUAACGAUGGCUAUAAUUCUCUAUCAUUCUUCUUGUUUUCCAUUCGGAUAUUUAUGGACCAGUUAAAAGUUUCCUAGAGGGAGUUCUUCUGCACGUAGUCGUCCUUAUUACAGUGGUUCGAAUUAUGAUUAAUAUAGUGGGCCUUGGUCGUGUCGACGUAGGAGGAGUGAGGUGAAUGGUAACGCAUUUUGGAUUACUUUUAACAUACAUAGUAUAAUUCAGGAGUCAGGAUGUACAUAGAAGCUUCCCAUUCUCAACUUUUAUUCAUCUUCCCGGUCAGUAGUUAGUAGCUAUAAGUGGAUCUUAAUCGUCUUUCAUGGAAACGGAAACCUCGUUCAGCUCGGUACUCACGGCGUCGACGCAACGGUCGUAAUAAAAGAAGAUAUUUCGAUUACCAUCUUAACUACUCUUCGUUAUAGUGUUACGGUUGUUUUAGUACCAUCAGCUACCUGAACAAGACGUAUUAUGGUUAACAUACUUUGUUUACGUAACUUAUUCUUAUAUUAGUUUAUAGGUGGUUGAUAAAAAGUUUACCUUGUCUUUUAUCUCAAACUACAAGUUUUUUGUUUUACUCAGUGGAUCAUUGAUUAAUAGGUAACAAUACAACCUCACAGAUUUUAUAGAAAAUAAUCAUCUUUGUCUCUUCCGUAAAACAUAUAUACGUAUUCUAAAACGAAAAGACUUCUGUAAACGUCUUCAUACUAACAGUACUUUUCAUUAAAGGGUGUACAUACAUGUACACACGCACACAAUUAGUUCAAAGUUUAGAUAUGGAAAGGGGAAUAUAGGCAGGGAGGUACACGUUCUCGUUACCGGUAUUAUCGUCGUCGAAGGUAUUGGGUACUAUCGCCUAAGGUGUAUUUAGGGUUUUUAAAUUCAUAAAAUGAGAGGAUGCGUUCUUAUUUUACCUCCAUUUUCUUCUCUGUUAUCAUUUCAGAUAUCGAUACGUUUAUUCCUUCGAUUUUCGUAAGGAAGCAGAGGGAAAAGGUUGGACGAAAAGAAGUUCGAACAACAUUGGCUUUUGGGAGUUGGCAAGAACUUGACGUAGUCACCAAUUUGGAAGUACGCACGUAAAGUCCCUGAACUUCUGGAGAAGUUACCCUUACAAAAGGACGUUCUUAAUUUAACAGCUGAUCUACUUCUAAAGGGCGUUCUUAAUUAACAGUUGAGUUAUUUCAAAAGGACGGUCCGGAUUAUUAGUUCACGUGGAGGAUAUACGUUGUGUAUAAAUACACCAAAUACGGUUCUUUUUUCCUUUUUUGUCUUUUCUUUAAAUAGAUAAAGAUAUUAACCUGUUCAAGUCUAUUUGAUCCCAAGGUCUACUAUUACCACAUCAAAAGCCCGAGACAUUAACAAACUUAACAAGAAAGGUACAGUUUUACUUUUGCCUUACUUUAAGGAGUCCAAAAAGGAGUUUCUUGUCUAUUUACACUUUCCAUGUGAUUUACAGUAGAUCUCCUUAGAGAACUCCCAUAUUCAUAAGCAUGGUCUAGGUGUUAAAGGACCAAUUAAAGAAGUUCGCGUUAUCAAACUAGUAGGUACGACUGGGAACCCAAAGAAGCUGGACCGGAACGUUCUUUGAGGUACUUCUUUAAUUAAUUUGUAGUUAAAUAUUUUAGAUUAAAGGAGUAACAUGGACUACUAGAUUUUUAGUGUUUGACAUAGUCAAGAACUUAAUGUAUUCUUGAUAGCAUCUGCAUAAGUUUUCGUUAUUGUGUUGUAUAAAACUGUGUUUUCUUUAGUUUUAAAAUUUGAAUCAAAGACAUCCUUGUAAUAUCAUGUAGGUGCUGGUUAAAGAGUUUAAGUUAGUCUUGCGAGUAUCCAUUUGAGUGAUCUUUUCGUUAUAUACGUUGUAUAAUGUUUGGUAUUUAAGGCUACUGUACAUUAUGGAUUUGAUUAAGAGAGACCCCUUUAAGUAGUUUGUACUUUCUCCGUAGUCGUUAAUGGAGAAACUACCUAAAGAGCACGAGAAGUGCUUAAGUUGGUGGUCUUAGUGAACCGAGUGAGUUUUUGGGUAGUGUUGGAGGGGAAGGAGCAGGAUAAGCAGCAGAAGGUGCUUUACGCCAGGUUACCUCUGCACUCUUUGCCCCAAAAUUUCUUCGGCGACGAGCGCGGUAACUAGACUCUCCCUCCUCCUUCGCUCCUCGCUCCUUCUUCUGCAGCCCUGCUCCUCCCUGCGACCACCGGAGCAGGUAAACCUUCGCCUGCUUUGGGAUUGGGAUCCCUCGAGGCGGCGCGGAGCCAGCGAUGCUUAGGCUAGAAAAGAGAGCAGAAAAAAAAUCACAAGAGGCCAAGAGGGUCUUUUAGUUUUUUAUUUUCUUUUUUUUCCUCGUGGCCGUUGAGGCAUAAACUAGAAUUUGUACUUUGUGCGACACCUCGGUUAACCUUCGUCUGUGCACAGUUUAAACACUAACGUCAAACCUAGUUCACCUAAAAAAAACCCGCAGGCGUAAUUGCCAGCCGUUGCCAUUUGAUGGCAUGCCAGGCAAGUGAACAGGUUUUAAGGUUUACAGAGAGUAAUUGUAUAUCUCUUGUUUUUUAUAAUAUUCUUUUAGUAUCCUUACAAGGUUUUAAAUUCAGUAAAAAACUUAUACAGUUACUCGAUCGAAUUAAACCGUAUCCACUAACAGCAAAUAAUGAAGUCUAGAUUUAGGCAGAUAAUUUAUAGUAUAAAGAUUAAAAUUAUUUUCAUUAUUUAAACACAAAUUCUUUUCGGAGGUUAAAUCAACCACGUAAACACUUCAAAGUAAACUUCUCUCUAGAAAGUUUUUCAUUUUGUUUUUUUAAAACUGAACAUUAGAAGGAUUGCUUCCUCUCUCACUCACAGUUGGUAGUAUAGCAUUAAAUACGUUUAGAGUUUCGUACAAUGUAUUCUAUCAUACAGGUAAGAGGAAAAAUCAUUCCGAAGGUGACUUCGAGCGUUAUCGUUAUAAAAAUGUUUGAAAUACUAUUAAAUACACGAUUCUUAAUUUAUAGAUUUUAUUAUAAAGUUAAACAAACAGUUUCAUAUUAUAAAAGAUCGAAUACUAAGGAUUAAACCAAAAAAUAAUAAUUAAUAGAAACUCAACAAUAAUAAUAAUAAUAAUAAAGAAAAAAGAAAAAAAGCAGAAACGGGACAAAAAGUAGAGAGAUCUCCGGAACAACGGAGUGGGUAUAUCAAUUCAAAUAGAGGACUUACUUACUUCGCCCAUCGCACGAUAGAAAAAGAUUUUUUUUUUUUUAUAACUCGCACGUUAUUGUUUGUAUGGAGUAACUGAGUCACAUUUAAUCUCAUUACUAGUUAAUUACAAUCCUUCAUUAAUUAAUUUUAAUCCGAUUCAAAUAUUCAAAUUUGUUACAAAAAUACCUUCUAAAAUUACUUUUUAGUUUUCAAUUAACCGUCAGUUUUCGAAAUGUAUCAUUCUAUCAUAAUUCCCUCGUUACGUUAUCCCCAAAAUUAAAGGGACACUACACAAAACCUCCAAUAUUUGAAAUUCGCGAAAACAAGUUGUUUUUAUUCUUUUUUUUCCAUGGACGAUUCUCAUUUAUAUUGAGAAAAAAACUCACUAAAAAAGAAAAAAGACACACCAUGAAAACAAGGUCAUAAUCAUGCCGCCUAAUCGGAUUAUGCCGCCUAAUCGGAUGCUAACAUAUACUUUACAACAGGAAAGGGUUCGAAAAUAGAAGAAUUAGUAGAAAAUUACUUGUGCCCAAUAAUAACGUGAAUCGAGAUACUUGUAACACGGACGUUAUGUGGCAUAUGUGUGUUUUUCGGUUUCGUUAAAACAAAAUGUACGUUUAACUUUUGAUGAUUCCUGAGUAAACUAUAACUCUGAGUACAUUAUGAUGAUUGUCUGUUUUAUUUCAACUUUUUUUAUAUAUUUUUUAUAUGAAAACAUAAAAAGCUAUUUUAUUAUCUUUUAUAUAACAUUUUCUGAAUAAUUUUAUAUGUUUUUGUUUAUUUUAUAAAAAAGUAGCGUGAAAGAGUAGAGUGCAUUGUAUUACAGAGGUGUUAAGAUUUGCUUCAGAUUUAGUAAUCCGUGGAUGUGUUAAAAAAUUUUUUUUAGCUCUAACACAACUUAAAGAUUUUAAUUAUCUUUGAAAAAUAUCGUAUAAUAUUCACGAAACCAUCCUUAUUUGAGUCCUAAAGCUCGAGAUGAUAUAACCGAACUUGAUUAAUUUCAUGUAGAAUAGAGACAAAUCCUGAAAAAAAAAAAAACUCUUAUUCAAUCGUGCGAUGGAGAAAGUAAGUAACUAUUUUUAUUUGAAUCGAUGUAUACACUCCGUUGAUCCGGUUGUUUUCUCGUUUUCUUUUCCGUUUUCCCUUUUUUCUUUUUUUUCUUUUUUUUCUCCCCCAAUUUAUCCCUAUAUAUAAUUUUUUUUCUUCUUCAAUUCAGCCCACUAUCUUUUUGUAAAAAGUCAUAGAGUGUUCUAUGAACUAGAAGCGCUACUAACAGUGUCCUAGACUCGAUACGAAAAAUUUUUAUUAUAACGAAGAAAGGCCGGUCUUAUAGGUGGUUUAAUGUCGGUCUCACAAGUCCAAGUGGUGAAUCCUGAACAAAGUAUUUCUUUUACGUACUUCUGGGAAAGCUGAUAUUCGGUAAGAUUUUAUCUGAUCAAAUUGAAUUUUAGUUUUUACUCUUUACGUUCAGAGUCAGGAAAGAAAAAUUACAGAAAGACUUAUUUCUCUAGAUAAAAAAAAGUCGUAAUGACAUCUGGAUUUCUCGUUAGACAAAUUAGCCUGUGUUGAUAACUUAACUAAGUAUCGUAAAAUUUACCUGUAGUUGGUAUACAUAUAAAUAUGAUUUACUUUCUAAUCUAUCUUUUAUAAACGAGUUCAAUCCGGUCUAGUCUCAGUAGUCUGGUCUAUCUAGGUUAAACGAGUUGGGGUUUUAUAAAUCAACCAGAAGAAUAUCGAUAUAGAUUUAGCAGUUUGAAAUCCAAGCUUAGUUUAAGCGAAAUAACGGCUCAGUCCUAGUUUAGACUUGGGUUAUUAUCCCGUGUUAGUUCUUAAAUUCAUGUCAUGGCGACUUAGCAUGGCUUUUAGAUAGCCAUGCCAUGUUAUACCACGCACAGUCUGUCACGGCUAUACACAGCCGGUGUUUUUUAAGUACACAUGGCUGUGUAUUAUCAUAUUUUAUAAAAAAAAUAAUUGUUAUUUUAUAAAAUUGUUAAAUAAUAUAUAAUAAUAGUUAAAAAAACUUAAAAUAAUUUUUUUAAUAAAUAAUAAGACUUAUUAUAAAACUUGAUACAGUGAUUGUGAUCUUGACUUAAUAUAGCUACAGAAUAAUAGUGAUAUUCCACGUCAUCUAUCCCGGUUUUAGAACCCGGUAGAGAUAAUUAUUACUUUUUAACGUAAAAUUUCUAAACCAGGAGACACGUAAACUUUCGACGGUGCACAGGAGGUAUCAGUUGUGAGUUGUCGUAGAUAGAUCUCCCAGGUGCCAGUUAUCUUAGUAAUUCACGCUGGUGCCGAUACCGUGAGUUAGUUUAGAAAAAGCACUAGAGGAGAGGAAUGGGGCAAAAAUCGGCAGGCUAGUAAGUGGGCAAUCUUACCCUGCCGAGAGGAGAGUUGUCUGGGCCCUUCGCGAGGCAAAGGACGCGGUGUUAAAAAAGCGAUACUGGUUGAUUAUACUGUACUGUGUUCUUUACAUCGAUAUUUUAUAAUUUAACCAUUAUAAUAAUUAUUUAAAAUAAAAAUAUAGUUGUCUAUUUAAAUAAUUUAAAAUAAUUUAAGUUAUUUAUACCACGCGGAUACCAUUGUUACUGAUGAGGUUCAGAGGUUAUGCUGAAAGAAUUAAUUGAGUAUACGUGUAUUUCAACGUCGAAAAAGGCAUUAAACGGGUGUGUUUUUAAUAUUAUAAAUUAAAUAUUUCAACAUUUAAAAACCUCCUAUUUUUAAAUUUCGUUUUGAUCAUAUCUCCUACUUGGUACACUCUCAGGAUAUUUGAAAUCUUUUUUACUAACCGGUUUAUAUUUGUUGUUUAAAAGAAACAGUGCAGUAAAUGCUUGUUUCGAUAAUGUACUCUUAUCAUAAUGAACUAAAUCCGUAAAACGACUAGACGCAUUAAAUCACUAGAAAAAAAUAAAUUUUAAUAAACAAUUUCGACACCUAAAUCUUUUCCGGGCUAUUUUUUCUUAUUCUAAAAGGAAAAAAAUAACUCACGGUAAACCUCUUCAUUCCAUCAAUUUCACGUUCUUUUUCAUAAUGAAUGACUUUUUUUAUUAUUAUUAUUUUAUUUUAGAAAUUUUGCACUGUUAUUUGCUUUAGUGGAACUUCCUCGUUUACUACACCUGGUUUUGCAAAUAAUAUAAUAAUAUAUCUCGUGCACCUACGCAUAGUAAAAAUUAAUUAAUUAAUUAAAGAAGCAUGCAAGGUCUUUGAGUUGCCAGUUUAAGUUGUGUAUGUUGACGUGCAUGUGAGUUGAUCAUGGUUAUAUAUAUAUAUAUAUAUAUAUAUAUAUAUCAGGCCGAUGAUAUGAUAACUAUCAUAGUUCAAGAACCAUGAUAAUUUAAAAGAUGGCAAUCUAGUUGGGAAACUAGUAAAAGUGGCAAUUUAAUAUGAUAAUUUGGUUGGUGGGUGAGUUGGGAUCCCCUGGUGAUAGUUAAAUUGGCCCCUGGUGAUAGUAGGAUUGGCGUGUAGGAAAGUAGGUUGCCUGUUUUUGAGUUAUCAUGGUUCCCGAACCAUGAUAACUAUCAUAUCAUCGUAUAUAUAUAUAUAUAUCUUAAUCCAACCUUAUGAUAAUUAUCAUUUUGCGAGAAAAACGAUAGUUCAAAAAUUGGUAACCUACUUUUUAAUAUCCCAGUCUUACUAUAAUCAGCCAAUCUCAACUCUACCAGGGGAUCCCAAGUCGGCACGGGUGAUCCNNNNNNNNNNNNNNNNNNNNNNNNNNNNNNNNNNNNNNNNNNNNNNNNNNNNNNNNNNNNNNNNNNNNNNNNNNNNNNNNNNNNNNNNNNNNNNNNNNNNNNNNNNNNNNNNNNNNNNNNNNNNNNNNNNNNNNNNNNNNNNNNNNNNNNNNNNNNNNNNNNNNNNNNNNNNNNNNNNNNNNNNNNNNNNNNNNNNNNNNNNNNNNNNNNNNNNNNNNNNNNNNNNNNNNNNNNNNNNNNNNNNNNNNNNNNNNNNNNNNNNNNNNNNNNNNNNNNNNNNNNNNNNNNNNNNNNNNNNNNNNNNNNNNNNNNNNNNNNNNNNNNNNNNNNNNNNNNNNNNNNNNNNNNNNNNNNNNNNNNNNNNNNNNNNNNNNNNNNNNNNNNNNNNNNNNNNNNNNNNNNNNNNNNNNNNNNNNNNNNNNNNNNNNNNNNNNNNNNNNNNNNNNNNNNNNNNNNNNNNNNNNNNNNNNNNNNNNNNNNNNNNNNNNNNNNNNNNNNNNNNNNNNNNNNNNNNNNNNNNNNNNNNNNNNNNNNNNNNNNNNNNNNNNNNNNNNNNNNNNNNNNNNNNNNNNNNNNNNNNNNNNNNNNNNNNNNNNNNNNNNNNNNNNNNNNNNNNNNNNNNNNNNNNNNNNNNNNNNNNNNNNNNNNNNNNNNNNNNNNNNNNNNNNNNNNNNNNNNNNNNNNNNNNNNNNNNNNNNNNNNNNNNNNNNNNNNNNNNNNNNNNNNNNNNNNNNNNNNNNNNNNNNNNNNNNNNNNNNNNNNNNNNNNNNNNNNNNNNNNNNNNNNNNNNNNNNNNNNNNNNNNNNNNNNNNNNNNNNNNNNNNNNNNNNNNNNNNNNNNNNNNNNNNNNNNNNNNNNNNNNNNNNNNNNNNNNNNNNNNNNNNNNNNNNNNNNNNNNNNNNNNNNNNNNNNNNNNNNNNNNNNNNNNNNNNNNNNNNNNNNNNNNNNNNNNNNNNNNNNNNNNNNNNNNNNNNNNNNNNNNNNNNNNNNNNNNNNNNNNNNNNNNNNNNNNNNNNNNNNNNNNNNNNNNNNNNNNNNNNNNNNNNNNNNNNNNNNNNNNNNNNNNNNNNNNNNNNNNNNNNNNNNNNNNNNNNNNNNNNNNNNNNNNNNNNNNNNNNNNNNNNNNNNNNNNNNNNNNNNNNNNNNNNNNNNNNNNNNNNNNNNNNNNNNNNNNNNNNNNNNNNNNNNNNNNNNNNNNNNNNNNNNNNNNNNNNNNNNNNNNNNNNNNNNNNNNNNNNNNNNNNNNNNNNNNNNNNNNNNNNNNNNNNNNNNNNNNNCCAUGUGACCAUCUCACCCUCCUUCUCUUCACCCCUUUCUCAUCAAAAAAAAAAAAAAACUAUCAUCUCUCAAAACCCUAUCCAUAACCCACAUCAAUAAAAGUUUUUAAAAAUAAAUUUGAUAUUUUUUUUGGAAAACUUAUUAAAGAAUAGUAUUAUAUUUUUCAUAAAUUUUAAAUAAUAUAAAUUUAUAUUUGAGAGUAAAAUUAGUAUUAUAGUAUUCUAUAAUUUUUUUAGUUUAUACGAACCAAAUAAUAAAAUGCGAAUAACUCAUUCCAAUUCCCAAUCCAUAAAUAAACCAAACGUCUUGGAGGAGUGGGUCAUUCCAAUUACUAUUCCAAUUCAUUCCCAUUCCAUUAUCCAUUUCAAUUCCACCCUUGAACCAAACAUGCCUUAAGUGAGGUUAAGUCUCUUAAAGACAUCUCACACAUUGCAUAGUAUGAACACCCAGUAAUUCUUUUUUACUUUAAUUUGUAUUUUUAAAAUUUUAAGUUUUGUAGGGGAUUGUUUGUGAAAAAACUCAAAAUUUUAAAGUUUGAAUUUUAUUCAGUUUGACUCUUGAAUUAUUCAUUUAAUAUUUACUGUUAUUAUUAUUUAUUAUUAUUUUAUUUUAUUUUAUUAUUUAUUUAUUUUCUUUCUCAAUGAGAAAGAAAUCAACGAGAUAUUUUUUCCGUUCCGUUUCUUGCGUCUAACGGAAUAUCAUUCCGUUCCGCUUCUUUCUCGUAACGAGAAAGAGCGUGCUCCGUCAACCUCCUUCACGAUCGUGCUCGCAGGAGAAGGAAUUCCGGUCGUAUCUUAGGGUGUUAUUUCCGGUUAAUCCAGCACGUAAGGACGGAAAUACGCUUUAGGACAGUACUUUGUACAUUUUCGGAUAAGAUCAUAUUUUUAUUUGAAUAUUUACGUUUAUAUGUAAGUUUGAUUUUAUUUUUAUUACAAAAUUACUUAGAUUCUAAUCACAGUCAGAUUUCGGGAAUUUGUUCUAACACAGCAGCACCCAUACGUGCCUCGGGAUUUGCAUCUGCCGGACUACGUGCCGUGCUUCUUGUCGCAGAGGGAGAUCGUGCUGCCCUACCUCGUCGCCUCCCUCCUCCUCGUCACUCUCAUCUGGCUCCUCUCCGGUAGCACCCCUCAUCUCUCUCUCUCUCUCUCUCUCUGUGCUGCAGCAGCAGCAGCGGCUCCGAAUUGCAGCUUCUCUGCUGCUUCCGCCACAAAAUUUCAUUUCAGCUGUCCGCCGCAUCAAAAGCUUUGAUUUUUUUUUCUUUUUCCCCCUCUUUCCAAACGCUUCAUUAGAUGCGGCCGCAGCUGAGACCAUUUGCUCCCCUAUUGAUUCCUUGAUGAAUUUUCUUUUCCUUUUUUGAAUUAAUUUUUUGUUAAUGUUCACGACCGAUGUCGAUUUGGUCGAUACGGAAGGUUUUGUUUGAAAUGCUCUUUUGGAUCGAAUCCUUCGUUGCGAUUUGUCGUGCAUGCAACUAAUUCUGAUAAUAGAAAAAAAUUGCUUCCGAAUGCUAAAUCUGUUCUCUUUGAUGCAAUUCCCGCCACCUGUUUGUUGAAAACUGGAAAUGCCCGUGGAAAAAAAGAAGCAGCUACCUUUAUGUGUUCUUUUGGGAUCUAUUAGCUAUAUUGUCGCAGAAUUAACCCUUAAUGGUCUUUAGCUGAUCAUACUGUAACUAAUGCUUAUGAAAGCAAUGAAUGCCUGUUCCCUGGCUGGUAUUCUGAUCCCUCUUGUUGGACUCGAUUGGAUUGAGUUUAGGGCGUUGUUCGACGAUAACAAAGACCGAUCGCUUGCUCAUGUGCUGGUGGGCUUUUACGGGGCUUACUCACAUUAUUCUCGAGGGGUAUUUUGCCUUCACUCCCGAGUUCUACAAGGAGAAAACUCCCCAUUACCUGGCUGAAGUCUGUAAGCUCUUAUCUUAUCAUACUUGCUUAUUCCUGAUUCAAACGUUGAGAUGUCGCAUCGAAUUGCUGGAGUGUUGAGUUCUUUUCAGAAUGUUUGUGAUCGUGACGUAAACAUCGCAUUACAGGGAAGGAGUAUAGCAAAAGUGACUCCAGAUACGUCAGCAGGGAUGCAGCAGUUGUUACUGCUGAAGGAAUAACUGCUGCAAUUGAGGGUCCAGCUUGCCUUCUUGCAGUGUAAGACUCUUGCCCGCUAUUAUUUGCAUUACGCAGAUUUUUUGAUACUGUAGCUNAUCGUAACGUCGUUUCUCCUAUUGUUUUAUCACUUAAGACCGUUGGUUUAGUAGAAUACCAUUCGCGACUUUUCGGGACAUUAUAAUUUUAGAAUAGAGACAGCUAUCGAUUAAAGUCAGUCUCCACUUAGAAGUCUUAAUGAUUAUAUAAAAAAACUGUCUCUAACCUCUUCUUACCCCGUUUUGUUUACAUGAUUGUUUAUUUCUCAUGUUAAGAUCUUUGUAAGUCGAGUCGUCGUUGGAAAUAGAUACAAGUAUAUGAACCACUUCAAGUCUAUUUGCAUGCGGUAACUCAAUAGCCUAGUCAAUCGUAUUCUUUCCCUGAACGUAAUUCAAUAUCCUAGUCAAUGAUCCACUUUUGUUCAUAGAUGUUGUGUAGUUGCCUAAGUUGUCGUAUAUGGUCCAAGAAAUCAAGUUCUACGUAGUUUAAGAGUGUAUGAUGUUGUCGAUCUUGUUUGGCCGUGUUAACUUGUAACUUACUCGUAUAACUCGUAUUUUUUAUAUAAUGAAAGUGAAACAUUAAGUUACUUGUCCUAUGUAACGACGUAUGUGUUUUAAGUACUUCGUUAGAAUACUAUUGAGUAUGAAGUUAACGGUACGUAAUGAUAGUGACAAAUAGUUUUCUACCUUUUAUAGAGUUCUCAAUACGUUUUAACUGGUGCUCUUCUGGUAUUCUCUCUUAUAAACUAGGUUCUUAGAAUAGAUGGUACUUAUAUUUGUUGGUUCCGUUAGUCUUCGUUACUUAUAUUUGUUGUUCUACGUAUGCCUGUUAGUGGGUUUUGUUCAUUAGUUAGUUGCUUGGCCAACAAUUCCCUUCUAUGAAACUUUGAAAGAAUGUCAUGUUUGACCUAGUUUUUCAAAUUCUACUACCAUUUCUAUCCUUUAUGAUUUUUCCUGGAUAUUCAACUCAGAUUAUGAAAUAAACUUCGACAAAUAAUAGGAACAAUAUGUAACUUGUAUUUAUAUAUGUCUGUACGGAUUGUCGGAUGAAUAUGUCUGUUUUAUGUGCGUCUCUUAUGGAAUUUGUACCACGUGUCAAUAUAUAGCAGUUUAACUUAUAACGUAUGUUGAAAUAUUGACAGAUAAAUUACAUGAUAUGCAUGGCUAUCUCUGAAUGUGUUCAUGUAAAGACAGAAAUAUAGUGAUAUAGACAAUUUACCUUGCAUUAUUUAGUGAGUCCACAUACAUAAUUUCUGACCUUCCUCAGAACUACAUACUGUGCCUGCACUUGGGAAGCUGCAAAUUGUCGACAUUCUCUUUAUUGUUUGCCUUCAUUAUUAUCAGAUAUUAAUUUAUUAAAUUAUAUAGCAGAUGUACAUAUUCCAUGCAACACUUAUCUCACUCGACAAAGUACUACGCAUGGCUUUUUCAUUAUCCUAAUUAGGUUUGUUUCAUCCAUGACAGGUUCGCAAUCGCAUCAAGAAAAUCAUACAGCUAUAUUCUCCAGUUUGCCAUCUGUCUCGGACAGCUCUAUGGGUGCUUGGUUUACUUCAUUACUGCAUAUUUAGAUGGUGACAACUUCUCGAUCAGUCCAUUCUACUACUGGGCCUACUACAUUGGAGCAAACAGUCCGUGGGUUGUGAUACCAAAUCUGAUCGCGAUAAGGAGCUGGAAGAAGAUAUGUGCAGCGUUUCAAGCUGAAAAGAAGAUGAAGACUCGAUAAUCUAUCGGAUCCUUUAACAGUUUUUAGGGGAUCAGAAAGUUCAAUAUUCUGUCAGAACUGCCUAUUUAUGAUGUUUGCUGUGUUUGAAGCCGAAAAUUCUGUGUUGCAUUUGCUUUUGUUGCAUUAAAACUAUAUAACUAAUGGAAUUGUUUUCACAUAGACUGGAGGCCCUAUCAUCUUGGUCUUGCUCUUUUCUGAUAAUUUUGGAGCAUCCAAUUAGUUUGGUAGGAAGAAAUUUUGAAAAUUUGCCUCAGUUUGAUGGUCACUUUUGGCGCAGUUGUUAGUGUUUUAGCAAGAUCAUCACUUGCUUGAAUGAAUGAAAAUGAAUGAAGGUUCUUCUCAGCACCCAGGAUUGGAUCAAUUGUCUGGAAUAAGCUGGGAGAGCUGCGUUUGGGAAUUUGGAAUUGUUAGGGGUUACGAGGCACAAUUACUCACCAGCUUGCAGUGUGGUCAGUUUGUUUGUAAACUUUGUUGGGAUCUGUAUUGCAUUAGUCGUUCCACGCAUCGGCGUUUAAUUUUUGUUCCUAACGGGACUGAAACUUGCAGAGUCUUCCUACCUCUGGAAAGUAGUAGUGCCUACUGCAAUUGAUAAAAAAAAGAUAGAAGCAUAGUCGUUCCACACAUUGCAAUUUACUCAUCAGAGAGAGAAAAAAAAAAAAAAGAAAAAAAAAGAACAUUAAUUUACAUNUCACUUAUAUGGAGGGGGCGGCGUUGGCCCGCCUCUCUUUCGUUGUCGGCGUGUCUUAUAUGGAGUUGUACAUUGUGGAUGCGUAAAUGUACAGGAAGAAGAAGAAGGAGAAGAAGAAGGGAACAUAGUGGCAAAGUAUACAAAAUUUUCCUACGCCAUUAUUAUACUUAAAUCCAUUAGCCAACACGCCACCCAAAGCGCAAUCAAUUGCUGCCCCCAAACAAACCCCGCCGAUCCCAUCCGUUCUCCGUUGGGCAUCCGUACGUUCCACGCGGUGUAGGACAGGAGCAGCCCGGAUCCUGCGGCGGAUAGCAAGCAACGGGAGCCGGCACCGACGGCGGAGGAUACAACUCCAGAUCGUGCGCCUGGAAGGGGAAACGGGUCCCAGGCGGGGGAUAGAGCGGCUCCGGAUCCGGAAAGAGGGGAGGAGGAGGAGGAGGAGGAUAAAUCUCCGGCGGCGGCGGGUAAUCCAGAGGAGGGUAGAGGACGACGUUCGUCGUCGGAGGGGAGUAUUGGGGAGCGCAUGCGGAGAUGGGGGCGCCGACGUUGAAGCUGGGAUCGACGUGAUCGGUUAUACCGCCACCGCCGACGCCGAGGGUGGUGAUGCGGAAGGAGAAGGUGAGGACGCCGUUGGGUUUGCCGUCGGGGGCCCGCAGCUCGUAGCUGAGGUGGCGGAGGGCGCCCGCAGGGGAUUCCUCGGCGGUGGCGUUGAGGAGGUGGGCGACGGGGACUUGGGCGGCGGCGAGGACCUUGUCGCCCAGGAGCGGGAUGCUGCGGGCGGCGACGUCGAAGCGGAGGAGCAGCGGCGGCGGACGGGGUGGUCCCACUCGGGGUGAGGAGAAGGAGAGGCGCAUGGGGUGGUCCCACUCGGGGUUCUCGCCGCCGUCCAGAUCCACCGGCGUCCUCUGCUGCUGCUGCUGCUCAUCAUCGUCAUCAUCGGGCGCCAACACCAGGGAGAGGAUUGCGUAGAGAUAGGGCUUCUGGAAGGGGACGAAGGAUUUGACGCCCCUGCACGAGAUCGUCUUCACGUCGAUCCACCACCGCCGCCGCCGAGGAUGAUCCAUCAACUAAUUGACUAACUGUGCGUUAAUCUUUCGGCAGGAGGUAGAGACGAUUCGAGCUAGCAGACGUUUGGUGCUGGUGGUGAUUUUUGUGGAGUUUGCGGCGUUUCCUCUUUGUGGCAACAGAAGCACCCCGAGUGGGAGAUGAGAUGAGGGGAUUCAGAGAAGGACACGCGGCGGCACUUCCUUAGAGAGGAAGGAGGAGUUAUUGAAACUUCCACCACCUGGUGGAUGAUCCGUGCACCGCACGCACCUGUACGCAUCUUUGACUCCAAUCCGUGCCGUCCAAGUCGGUUCCCUUGUACGAUUGCUUUUGCUUGAAGUGUUGUGAUGAGAGCAGAGACUGAGAGAGUAGCCACAAGCUAGCCAGCAGCGAGACAAAUCGAGCAGCAGAAUAGAAUCAGGUGGGGUUGGGACCGAAAAGGGGCAUAAUAUGAAUUCAGCACUCGGCGGCCUCUGAUAUUGCCUCUAUUCGCUCGAUCAUUUGCUGCAGCAUGAACCAUCUUUACUUUCUGCAUUGAAAGGAAACAAAUCCAAAAUCUGUUCGCAUGAAUAUUAAAUUACACACACAAUAUAUAUAUAUAGAGAGAGAGAGAGAGCCAUCUAUUUCAAAUCGACGAUCGAUUAUCGUUGAAUAUUAUCUAUACUAUUUGAAAUAUCUAAAAGCAAAAUUUCAAAAUACUUCAAAUAGUAUAGAUUAGGUUUAAAGAUACUGAUCGUUGAUUUAAAAACUCUAUCAGCAAAAAUAAAUGGGUGACAACGAAGUCCAUUUGGUACUGAUAAUAUUUUAGAAACUCUCUCUCUCUCUCUCUCUCUCUGUCUCUCUCUCUAUAUAUAUAUAUAAAAAUAAUGUACUCUUCAAUAUCAAUUAGUUUUGAAAAUUUACAAUUUUAAAUAAGAAAUUGAAACUGAUUAACUCAUAAGAAAUCAAAGUUGAAAUUUCCUAGUUUUUUAAUAAAGAUACUUUAGGGUGUGUUUGGUUUGAAGUCGGAGUCAGAAUCGGAAUUGGAAUCAAAAUAAGCUGGAAUCGGAAUCAGAAUGACUCAUUACCUAAUUCUGUUUGGUUCAUCACCUGAAUCGGAAUCGGAAUAAAUAAUUCCAUUGUCGGUGUUUGGUUUAGGUGGAUAUAAAAAACGUAAUCAAAUUAAUAUACUAACAUUAUCUUUAUAAUAUAUUAAUUUAAAUUCAANUGAUUAAAUUUUAAUUUUUAAUUUAAGUUUAAAUUAAAAUUUAAAAUUAUAUAUUUAAUUUUUAAAUUUUAACUCAUAUUUUAAUUAAAAAAGUUGAAAAAAUAAAUUUAAUCCGAAUAAAUAUCCAUUCCGUCCGGAUUUGACUUUCAAUCCGGUCUCCUAGGCCGGAUUGAAAAAAGAGGUGAUCAGGGAAUUCCCAUUUCACUUGGGAAUCGAAAUCGAAAUGAGACUCCUGCGUACCAAACACCCACAAACGGAUUUAAGCAUUCCGAUUCCGAUUCCAGGGUGAAAAAGAAGCGAACCAAACACGCCUUAAAUGUUAGAUAAUACCUCUUAAUAAAAAAUAUUCGUUAAUAAGAUCUCCAUUUAAGUUUCUCACGACUUAUACAGAAAAAUGAAGAAGACGAGAGAAGUACUAGGCAUUUGAAAAUAGCAGUAAAAACUACAUCGACCAAAUUUAAACAUCCACAUGGUGCUGACUAAUUUGUUUUUUUUCCCUUUAAUCAGAAUCUAUCCAAACGAUUUGCACCCACAAUAAUAUUACUAGUAUUAAAUAAUAAUACAAAAAAUCAGAUAUGGGGGGAGCAUGGAAGCAUGGACCCCCAGGCCCAAGAGCAGGAGUAGGUGGUGGCAACUGGCAAGUGGCAACGUGAUCUGAGCAUUAAAAAUAAUAAUAAUUAUUAAAUAAAUAAACAAAUAUUAUAAGUUAUAACCAGGAGGCUUGUCAUUGCGUCCUCCUCUGCCUUCGUCUUAUUUUUGUAUUUUAGAUCACAAGCCCGCAUCAAGCCCGUUUCUGUUUCUAUCCUGUCGAGGGCGGAGGCGUUGACUCGGAAAACGCACAGAGUACUCGUGAGCGAGAGUAGAAGAGUAAUGGGGGUGGCGGCGGCGGAGCAGCAGCACCCGUACGUGCCUCGGGAUUUGCAUCUGCCGGACUACGUGCCGUGCUUCUUGUCGCAGAGGGAUAUUCUGCUGCCCUAUCUCGCCGCCUCCCUCCUCCUCGUCGCUCUCAUCUGGCUCCUCUCCGGUAGCACCCUUCAUCUCUCUCUCUCUCUCUCUCUCUCUCUCUCUCUCUCUCUCUCUCUCUCUGUGCAGCAGCAGCAGCAGCAGCGGAUCCGAAUUGCGGCUUCUUCUCUGCUGCUUCCGCCACAAAAUUUCAUUUCAGCUUUCCGUCGCAUCAAAAGCUUUGAUUUUUUUUUUUUUCCCCUCUUUUUCCAAACGCUUCAUUAGAUGCGGCCGCAGCUGAGACCAUUUGCUCCCCUAUUGAUUCCUUGAUGAAUUUUCUCUUCCUUUUUUGAAUUAAUUUUUUGUUAAUGUUCCCGACCGAUGUCGAUUUGGUCGAUACGGAAGGUUUUGUUUGAAAUGCUCUUUUGGAUCGAACCCUUCGUUGCGAUUUGUCGUGUAUGCAACUAAUUCUGAUAAUAGAAAAAAUUGCUUCCGAAUGCUAAAUCUGUUCUCUUUGAUGCAAUCCCCGCAGCCUGUUUGUUGAAAUGCCUGUGGAAAAAAAAAGAGAGGCUACCUUUAUGUGUUCUUUUGGGAUCUAUUAGCUAUUAGCUAUAUUGUCGCAGAACUAACCCUUAAUGGUCUUUAGCUGAUCAUACUGUAAGUAGUGCUUAUGAAAGCAAUAAAUGCCUGUUCGCUGGCUGGUUUUCUGAUCCCUCUUAUUGGACUCGAUUGGAUUGAGUUUAGGGCGUUGUUCGAAGAUAACAAAGACCGAUCGCUUGCUCAUGUGCUGGUGGGCUUUUACGGGGCUUACUCACAUUAUUCUCGAGGGGUAUUUUGCCUUCACUCCCGAGUUCUACAAGGAGAAAACUCCCCAUUACUUGGCUGAAGUCUGUAAGCUCCUAUCAUACUUGCUUAUUCCUGAUUCAAACAUCGAGAUUUCGCAUCGAAUUGCUGGAGUGUUGAGUUCUUAUCAGAAUGUUUGUGAUCGUGACGUAAACAUCGCAUUACAGGGAAGGAGUAUAGCAAAGGUGACUCCAGAUACGUCGGCAGGGAUGCAGCAGUUGUUACUGUUGAAGGAAUAACUGCUGCAAUUGAGGGUCCGGCUUGCCUUCUUGCAGUGUGAGACUCUUGCCCGCUAUUAUUUGCAUUACGCAGAUUUUUUUAUACUGUAGCUUUUAUAGCAUGUUAAGUGCCUGUUGGAAGUAUGUUAAAAAUGCAUUGGAAGAAUGAAAAGGGGGGUGGGUGGCAGAGAUGGUUGAUAAGAGUUUUUGGAUCAAAUAUUUUCUCUUAUGGUCCUCUUGUGAUCAAUUUUGCAUAACUCUUGAGAUAUUUUCCAUCUUUUGAUAAACAGUGAUAGUAAUGCAUGGCAAUUGAAGUAUGAGUUAUCAUAAGAUUGCUUCAUGAAUUUUGUGGAUGCAGCAAUGUAUCCUGUUCAUUGAAUUACAAAGUGAAAGUAAUAUAUUUUUUAUGCUCAAUAUGCUCAUUCAAUGUUCAAUUGUGCCUGUUUGUUGUAGUAUGUGAGAAUUCGAUGCAUCUUGAACUAAAGAACCUGGUAUAUGCUGUUGAAUCUGUCGAUGUGUUGUAGAAACUUGUUUUCACCUAGUAACUGAUCCUAUAACUUAAUGCAAGUUCCUUUCUUAUGCUAACUGAUCCGAUAACUCUAUGGCUUACCUUUAUCUGAACUUCGCCAAAUAUAUGAACAUAGAUAAAGGUUGUUGCUGAGCUGAAUGUUUCUAGAAUUGUACUCUUUAUUUGUUAGUACAUUUAUUUUGCCCCAUUCUUCUCCAAUCUCUAUCAAAAAAAUAUAUUAGUAAUUCUGAAGAUUCAUCUCUGACUGAAAUUAGCUAUCGACAGAGAUAAGAUUUUAAUAUUACAGGGCUUUUCAGUGCUUACCGUAAGAUGAUUUGGUUGCCAGAAUUCACUAUUUUGUUAUCCUCUUUGCUGCAAUGCUACGUAUGCCUGUUAGUGGGUUUUGUUCAUUAGUUAGUUGCUUGGCCAACAAUUCCCUUCUAUGAAACUUUGAAAGAAUGUCAUGUUUGACCUAGUUUUUCAAAUUCUACUACCAUUUCUAUCCUUUAUGAUUUUUCCUGGAUAUUCAAUUCAGAUUAUGAAAUAAACUUCGUCAAAUAAUAGAAACAAUAUGUAACCUGUAUUUAUAUAUGUCUGUACGGAUUGUCGGAUGAAUAUGUGUGUUUUGUGUGCGUCUCUUAUGGAAUUUGUACAGCGUGUCAAUUAUAUAGCAGUUUAACGUGCAUUGAAAUAUUGACAGAUAAAUUACAUGAUAUGCAUGGCUAUCUCUGAAUGUGCUCAUGUAAAGACAGAAAUAUAGUGAUAUAGACAAUUUAUCUUGCAUUAUUUUGUGAGUCCACAUACAUAAUGUCUGACCUUCCUCAGAACUACAUACCGUGCCUGCAUUUGCGAAGCUGCAAAUUGUCGACAUUCUCUUUAUUGUUUGCCUUCAUUAUUAUCAGAUAUUAAUUUAUUAAAUUAUAUAGCAGAUAUACAUAUUCCAUGCAACACUUAUCUCACUCGACAAAGUACUACGCAUGGCUUUUUCAUUAUCCUAAUUAGGUUUGUUUCAUCCAUGACAGGUUCGCAAUCGCAUCAAGAAAAUCAUACAGCUAUAUUCUCCAGUUUGCCAUCUGUCUCGGACAGCUGUACGGGUGCUUGGUAUACUUCAUUACUGCAUAUUUAGAAGGCGACAACUUCUCGACCAGUCCAUUCUACUACUGGGCCUACUACAUUGGAGCAAACAGUUCGUGGGUUGUGAUACCAACUCUGAUCGCGAUAAGGAGCUGGAAGAAGAUAUGUGCAGCAUUUCAAGCCGAAAAGAAGAUGAAGACUCGAUAAGCUGUUGGAUCCUUUAACAGUGUUUAGGGGAUCAUAAAUUUCAAUACUCUGUCAGGACUGCCUAUUUAUGAUGUUAGCUGUGUGUGAAGCUGAAAAUUCUGUGUUGCAUUUGCUUUUGUUGCAUUAAUACUAUAUAACUAAUGGAAUUGUUUUCACAUAGACUUUGAAUUGGAGGCCUCUUGCUCUUUUCUGAUAAUUUUGGAGCAUCCAAUUAGUUUGGUUGGAAGAAAUUUAGAAAAUUUGCCUCAGUUUGAUGGUCACUAAUGGCGCAGAUGUUAGUGUUUUAGCAAGAUCAUCACUUGCUUGAAUGAAUGAAAAUGAAUGAAGGUUCUUCUCUGCACCCAGGAUUGAAUUAAUUGUCUGGUAUAAGCCGAGAGAGCUGUGUUUGGGAAUUUGGAAUUGUAAGGGGUUACGAGGCACAAUUACUCACCAGCUUGCUGUGUGGUCAGUUUGUUUGUGAACUUUGUUGGGAUCUGUAUUGCAUUAGUCGUUCCACGCAUCGGCGUUUAAUUUUUGUUCCUAACGGGACUGAAACUUGCAGAGGGCCCAGCGUAAAAAGAAAAAAAAAAGAAAAAAAAAAGAAAAAAGAAAACAAAAACAAAAAACAAAAAACGGAUCGUGGUCGGCAGGAUUCGAACCUGCGCGGGCGAGCCCAUAUGAUUUCUAGUCAUACCCGAUAACCACUCCGGCACGACCACUUGGAUACCAUUUGUAUUCAAAUGGAAUGUUGAGUAAAAGACUACCACUCUGCUCUAAAUUGUUGAAACAAAGAUAAACCGCUCUCUUCAGCGAAUCGAUCACGAAAGUCUCGACGCCUUCCUUUACAUAGUCAUUAAUUUUUUAAAAACAAAAAAUAAUUUUAUAUCGAUUUAUGCAAAGUUUUAAAAUUAUAGAUUUUUUUCAACAAAGAAACUAUUUAUGGAAGUAUCUUUCUAGAGCUUCAAAGCAUACAAAUUUAUCCCUACAGGCUAGUUAUUAUGAGUUGACCCUUAAAUUUUAAUUGUUUAACUGUUAUGUUCUUAUAAAUAAAAUAGCUUUUUGCAAAUUUUCGAACUCAAUACUUAAAAAAUCUGUGGCCCAUAUAGAAUGAUAUAAAUGUUAGAACAAAAACAUCAAACCUAGUCAAACCAGCAGAAAAAAUAAAACAACAACCAAAAUGUGAUCCGUUUGGUUGUUAAAGUUAGUUCGCAACCACAAAAGCCCUUAAGCCGUUUGCCACUUACUUUAGGCACGGCACGUUCGAUUUUGGUUGUUAAAGUUAAAGAGCAAACAAAAUCAUUUAGGUGUUUUGUUGAGAGUGGGAUUUGAACCCACGCCCUUUCGGACCAGAACCUUAAUCUGGCGCCUUAGACCAACUCGGCCAUCUCAACUUGGGUGUCCUUGGAGAUAAUUAAUUAUAUAUAUAAAUAAAUAAUUGUAUAUAUAAAUAAAUAUUAACUUUUCCAACGCUUUACACCACCUCUCUUUCAGGUCCUCUCCUCUCGCGCCCGUUCCAUUCCGUUGUCAAUGGCGACCCUGCGAAGAGCUCUGCUUCGACUCCCCCGAACCCUAACCCUAAAUCCCGCGAGAGCUCCACAAUCUCUUCCCAGGUAACAUCCCCAUUCCCUUGCCUCCGAUCCCUCGCCCCGCGAUCUCCUCCGCCUCCAAUCGAAUCCUUUUUCCUUUUCAUUUUCUAUUUCAAUUACCCUUUUUUUCCUCCUUAAUUUCGCUCAGAAUUCAUCUUGGAUCGAUCUCCCGCUUCUCCUCCAAUGGCGGAUCGCUUGACGUCGACCUCUCUAACGAAGAGAGCAAGCGCCGACUUUUUAACAGGUCUAAUGUUCUAUCCACGGUGAUUAGAUCCGGUUGCGCUUGAGCUCGUUGAAACCCUAAAGCUUGCGCUUUUUUACGUGUAGAUUGCUCUAUAGGAGCAGGCAACGGGGGUUUCUUGAGCUAGAUUUGGUUCUGGGGAAUUACGUGGAGGAGAAUAUCCAUUCGAUGGACGAGCUCCGAAUCAGAGCCCUUGUUGAUGUUCUUGACCUGGUAAUUUAAAUACAAGAUUGGCUUUCACCUGCCCUUCCUUUGUUGUUACUAAGUUUUUGCGUUCUCAACGAAAAUUUUGAUGAUUGCAUCUGAUGAUUUGUAGUAUGGUCGUAUAUGAGGCAUAGAUGAAGUUUGUUCCGUGGCAUUUGCUAGGGGUUGCCUACUUUACUUUAUAGUGAUGUCUAGCUUUGCCUUGCAUUUAAGGGACUGGCGCGAUAGGUUUUUUAGGCUUAGCAGCAGUUACGUUUUGCUGCUUUUAGGUUUUGAAUAGAAAUUUGUCUAGUGUUGGUUUCCUUACUUGUAUUGUGUUGUUCAUAUUCUUUUGCAUGUGUUUGCGUUUCUAUGUAAAAUUUUUUGUGCCUGCAACUUGUGGUCACAUUUAAACUACUGGUGCACAAAAGUCAUCUCUGGUGGUCGAUGUAACCUUCUUAUUUUACUACAUAGGGAGGAUGAAUUGAUGUACCGGUUAAUCCUUGAUAUUGCCACAUUGUUACUUUCAUUAUAGUCUUACUAGACAGGAUUAGCGUAAAUCUCGUACUAUUUCUCUCUUCUUGUCUUCUUACAUUUUCUGUAUCUCUUGUAAACUUUUUUUGGUGCGUUAUUUCAUUAUUUCUUGAACUUAUUAUUUGCUCUAAUUGCUUUAUCUCUUCAUGACAUUGGGUCUUGGGAAAGACUUACGCAUCUAUGGGGUAGAAAAAAUUCUUGUUCCUCUGGUUUUGUGGCUGAUGAACUUGCAAACUGCAUAAGGAAUGCAAAGCUCACUGAUUCACAUUUCUUUAUUGAUAGGCUUCUACUGGUCAUUUGCUGGCCACUAUUUUGAUGAUAGAUAGUGCUGUAAAUUAUUUACUAAACCUUGCCAGUACUCUGGAUGUUACAUAUAUCGAAAAAAAAAGAAGAAGAUUGAUUCAAUUAGUAAAUUUCAUCUUACUAGAUUGAUUAAACAGAGAAAUCUACUUUCGAAAUUUGCUCUCGGAAGAUAGUAGUACAAGGUAAUUCUGAAGGCAAAGGGAUCACAUAGAGAAAGAGGAGUUAGUUGAAGAAGAAGUGAAUGGAGGAAAAAUCAAAAGACACUAACCUCGCAUGAAAAUGAAGUUCUGAAAUAUCUAGACUUUUUGUUAAUCCAUCUAGUAAAAGAAUAAGAUUCUUAGUUAGGAGUCAAAAGCAGAUUAUUGUUUUUUUUAUCUUAACAAGAUUCCAAAUAAAUAAAAUCUAAGCUCAUAAGCUAAAAGUGCUGUAAACAAAUUCAUAGGCUUCCUAGAUGCUUUUUCUAUCUUCAAUUUAAUAAUAACCCCUAAAGUUUAUGAAAACAGUAUCAAAUAAAUUAGGACAAUUUAAUUUUUCAACAGCCAAUUUUGUUCUGUGGAUCUUAUUCUUUAGAAACAAGACUUCUUGAUAUUCAUUGAAGCCGGAAAUAUCUGUCAAAUCUUCAUAUUUUGGUGGUAGAUCUGAACAUGAGACCUGGACAGCUGCUUCGAGAGUUUCAGCUCAAUUGCUCUCAAUUAUGGUUUUUAGCCUGAUAUGAUUGGUGAACUCUUUUGAAGGAUUUUGAUGAUGCAAAGAAUGGAUAGGCAUAUGGCUCAGCUUACAUCUAUAUUUGGAACAGGUUUCAUGUAGAAUAAUCGAAAAGAUCAUUUUGAUGAUCUUCUGAUGCAUUAGGAGGUACAAUAAGGUUGUCCAAUAGGUGCUUCUUUACUGGUGAUCUGAUGAAAUUAACUAGAUGGAGUGAGUUCUCCUUUUCCAUUUUAUGGGAACAAAAAGGCAAAUUUUUUUAUGUUUUCAUUUGUCUAACCACGAGUCCGUGACUUUCACAUCAAUAAUACCUUCUUGUGUAAUUGACAACAUCACAUAAGUUCAACUUAACUGUUUUUAGUUUAAUUUACUCAGAUGUCUUUAUAGUUGAUCAAUAUCUGAUUGAUUCCCCAGGAAAAUCCAGAUUUGUGGAAGUGGCUCACAGGGCAAGAGGAACCGCCAGAGCCAGUAACCUGUAAUCCUGUAUGUCAUAUGAAAACUAGCAAAUGCUACUUUUCUCUUAAAAUCUGAUAUAGUUUUCAAGUUAUUAACUUUUCUUUUAAUGUCGAUAGAUAUUUACUGCUAUUCGAUCAAAGAUUAUGGAAAACCUCAACAAGCAUGCAGCUCCAGAGACUCGUUCAUCUCCUGGUCAACCAUGGGUAAGAGGAUGGGACGAUAAGAGUCGGCCUUACGGGGGUCCAAAGUAUGGAAACCAAUGAUCCUAUUUCCCAUUCCAAAGAUCGAGCCUGUUGCAAAAAAGGUUUCUUGUAUAAUGUUUAUAGAAAGAGUAAGAGCUAUUGUGUUCAGAUUAACCUUGUGACUUGCCUGUGUUCCUGGUGAAUAAACUGUCGUAUAACAUGCUUGCAACUAAUAGAUUAGAGAUUUUUUGAGUGUGAUUUUUUUCCUUGAACUGUUAUUGUUAAACUUUUGGAUCAGCCGUGUAGAAUAAUUUCUCCAUCUCUGGUUGCAUGCUUCAUGUCCGUCAACUAUUUCUUGAAUUUGUCCAUUUGAAGACAUCAGUUGCUGCUCAAAGGGAAAGGUAUGUGCAAUUGUUGUGUCUGAAACCUUUUCUUUUGCAUGUUUCUUUUGGUAGUAAUCUCGACUUUUAUUGAUAAGUAGAUCAUACUGAUCAUAUUGAUUUAACCUUAAUAUUUGAAACAAUAGUUCAUGUCCUAAGAAGCUUAUUUUUCUGCAGCUCUGUAUCCAGCUGAUGAUAUUCAAAUUUGUGCCACAUGGUUUUUCAUGAAUAUUUAAGUAUCCUGUAGUAAAGAAGAUGGAGAAUCUCAAUGAAUCUGGUAAUGUUCACUAUCUCAUUUGUUUUGAAAGCCAGUUUAACAUGAAUUGUUCUUUGUUGUCAUGAUGGAUGAACUUCUCGUGAAACUUUGGCAUCAUUAGUGGAGUUUUUUUUUUUUUUAAAACAUGCGGCAUGAUCCUUAGAAAAAACGUACCUAGCUUGAAGAUAUCACUAAUCUCUGUAAUAAAGUUGGCUAUUAAUUAUGCUUUGUUCUAGCUGUGUAUCUGCACUUCUGAUUAUCUCCUUGGAAAUGUGUGAUAUUACUGGUUUAGCUAGGAGGGGAUUAUUUAAGGAAACGGAAUAGUACCGAGCUGAGCUAAACCAACCUUGGCCCAUUUAUAAUCAAGUCAAGUUAGUUUAGUUCCAAGUCUCACAACAUUUCAAGUCAAGGUCUUGGUACUUGUACACAAUUUGAUUCAAUAAUUAUUUGAAGAAUGAACUUGGAAGGGUUUUUAUCUAUAAGAUCUUUUACGAUAUCUACAUAGCUAGAUUUUAAUAUUGCAUCCUAUCUAAUUUAUCUGGCAUGAGCUUUAUUACUGAAACUAUUUCCUCUGACCUGCGAUAUAUUUCUUAAAGCCAUUACAUAUUUUUAAUAUAGAUCAUCAUUACUAGAAGUGUGUAUGUUCUAUUUAUCACUUACAAUUCUAGAUUUUGAGAUUAAAUCAAUCAAACAUGAACCAGAUGUAGUUAGCUUAUGCUUGACUAGUUUAUUAAACGAGUCAAUAAAUCCUGCUGCGGUGGGUGUUUAUUAAAUGAGUCAAUAUAACCCUGCUACGGUGGGUGUUUACACAUGAAAAUGGAAGCUGCUUCUGGAAUUGGUACUUAAAGUUAAGAUGCUAGGUCAGGCUUGAAUGAACUCAGGCUCGAGUGAACUAUGUGGAAUCUAAUACAACUCUAUAUCUAAAUCCUUUUUUUUUUUUCCCUUUUUGUACAAGCUGUUACUAGUUUGUUGGAUCCAACCUUGAUAGCAGGUCCGAUUGGGAUAAGAUAUGUGGUUUUUUUGGGUCUAUUUACAGCCUCGGCUCCAAUUUAGUAAGUUGUCUACUUUUCUUCGUAGAACCGAUUACAUAGGUAGAGAGCGCAAGGAAACCUCUUUUAAUUUAGUGGUUAGUGGCAGUUAAAAAAAAAAGGUGCCCAAAAAAAUGCCUUCUUUCCUUAUCUGAAUCAUCGGUGAAUGGUUGUUACUCUAUAUUAGUUGAAUCUUUGAAGCCUUAGGCAUCCGAUCAUUGAUCACAUUCCAGACUUUCAAAAGAGGCAUUCAUUUUAAAUGCUUUCCCUCGCUUCCUCUGUCUUUCUCUCUUUAAAAUGUCCCAAGAGAGAUUUAUACUCCAUUCAUGUGUACUUCUCAUGAUGCCAUAUUUUAACACCCACCCAUUCUUUUGUAUGGUAAUCACACUUAGUCUGUGUCCUAACAAAGUGACACUCGUGAAAAAAAAAAAAAAUUCACACUCAAAGGUGAGCCAGUAUAAAUUAUACAAUAUUUCAAAUUAAGAAAAAUAUCGGACUCUUAUAAUUUUUAAUCUUUUUGCAAACUAAAAUAACAUUAUGGUAGAUGAUAGCUUUUAUGCUUAUUAUUAUAUUAUCCUUCUGUUAGAAUCAAAUUGUGAGUCCCUUGAUUUGGUUGACAUGGACCUUUCAAACUUUCGAUAUUGUUGAUUGAUCUAGAAAGACAGUAUUGGAUCUAAUACUAAAGAGUCAAAGGGGAAAGAAAAAGAGAAUGAAUAUUUGGAAGAUAACUGAUAAAGACCGCUGGUCAAAGAGAGUUGGAAAGACCUAGUAAUUUAGACCAUGUAGCUCUCAAUGUGAAUAAAUUACCUAUUUAGAAUUUAUAGGAUAGAUCUUUCAAAGGAAUUUAUAAGAUUAUGUUUGUCUGACAUGGAAUAGGAGAGAUCAUGACCCAUGUGACUUUCUUUACAAUUGAUCUAUUGAUGUUAGUUCCAUUCAUCUUCCAACUAGUAAACAAUUUCUGAGUCAGUUGUGAAAGCUCCCUUUUGUUGCGUAGCUCACCACCUUCAAGACUUGACAGAGAAGCAGACAGAAAAAAGGAGGGAGCGAAUAUUAGACUUCAUGAGUUAAUUGAUACUUUUCACAAGGUAAGGUAAGGAAGUUGUCUGGUGGGAGUUCUUAUGCAUUAGUAAGAAGAAAGCAAUCUAAGUAGGAAUGCUGAUUUUCUUGCUUUUGGGAAAGUUAAAAAAUGUUAACAAAUUGAAAGGUUGAUCAUAUGAUAAUAGUUAAAGUAGUAUAAAUGACAUAAAGCUUGACAAAUGUCAAGUUUCAGAUGCAAAGACUGAUUUUGUAGAAAUUAGAAAAUCAUGGGCCCCGUGAUUAUAGUAAAUAAUUGUGUCAUGCCCAACCAUUAGCAGAGAAAAUCAAUAUGAUAAAAUAGCACCUCGUGGGAAUGUGUCAGUCUCUGAUUGGUUCCUUUCUAAUAUGAAGGUUGCAACAGUCAAAAAGGGUACACAUGACUGACAAAUAGCGUGUUAAUAAUGGGGAAAACUAGCUAGUUAGCUAGAUUCUUUCAAUCCAUGUAUGAUUCUUUUUUGGGCUGACAAAUAACAUGUUAAUAAUGGGGGAAAUUAGCUAGUUUGCUAGAUUCUUUCAAUCCAUUGUGUUCUUCAUUUUUGGCUGGUAGGUUAGUAAACUACAUUGACUAGAUGGGGAAGAUGAAGGUCCAACCUGAAAACAACAAUAAAGAUAGAUUACCCGUGCACAUUAAUCUAAUCAUGUAUAUACUCUAUAUAGGAAACUUCCUCGAGGUUGAUGAGUUGGAUUGAAUAAGAACCAUGCCUCUCACAUCUCCCAGCUGGUCCACUCUGUUCAAUCACAUUGGUCCCAAAACUUUUACUAACUUUAUAUAAUGCUCUGAUGCUUUAUUUGCAGCCAUGUUUUUAUUGGUGGGGAGCCUCUCACUACCCUUUUCUAAACUCCAUUUCCUCAACUUCCAUUGGUCCAAAGCAUCUUUUCUUUGAUGCAUCCCACCAACGAAAAGAUCAGGGAGAGAGCAAUUAAGCAGGGACCUCUUUCAUAUAAAGCACCUUUUUUCUCACUAUGAAAUGACCCAAUGAAGGAUAUCAAGUUGACAGGGUGGUCCCAAUUGGUUUGUGAUGCAAUAUUAUUGUAGUGGAUGUGUGGGUUACUGUAUGUUAUUGGAGGCAUGGGAAAGGAAUCUUUUCUUGUUUUCUGAGGAUUCGCGUGUGUAUGUAUGUGAGAGAGAGAGAGAGAGAGAGAGAGAGAGAGAGAGAAAUGAGAGAGAAAGGGGAUGCCCUACACAGUACACACGCAUGCACAUGCACACAGACAUUCAGCUUGAAUCUUGGUGUUUAGUAUCUCACAUCUCAUGUCAUGACACGUGAUUGAGUGGUGUUUCACUGCAUUGGCCCGGGAAAUAAGGCUUUGGUUUCAGUUAAAUAUUAUGUAUAUAUAUUUCCCACGCUUUUGAUUCCUUUCCAUUCACCUUAUGCACCACCUUUUGUCUUCCCAUGUCCUAACAUUUUCUUUUUCUAUUUUCCUAAUUUGCUUGCUUAGUCGCUGCCACUACCAAUACGUCCUUUUAAAUUUUAGUACAGCAGUACAAUAAUUGGAUUGGCACAGAGAGAAAUUUUAGUACUAUUAAUAUUGGUGAAAGGAAGCGUAUAAUUUUUGGUCUUUAUGUCCAUAUUUACUCUGGAUAAAUAUGCUUAGUUGGUCGGUUGCAUUUUUUUUUUAUGUGGGUUGGUCCCAACGAGCAGUAAUUUGAGAUAAGUUCUUAGAAGCACUUCCCUUUGUUUUUUUUUUUUUUCCCCUCUUUUUUCCACUUCAAGUUUUCAGUUGUAUAUAGAACAAAUUUGGUUAGAAGAAUAGUAGUUCACAGCGAUAUAUCAUUACAAACUCUAGGUUCAAUUCUUUGAAGUUAGGAGAUGGUUAUGUUUAAAAGUAGGUGUAUCUAUUAUUUACAUUUCUUGAACAUUGUAGCCAUCUUAUAGUAUUUAAUCAAGAUAAGUUUUCUUACUGAAAACUGCUGCAUGUACACUCUUUAUAAGGUGCAUAUCUUAUGUACUCUUCAUCCAAGGAUAUCCGAAAUCCUUGGACAAGGAUCCCUUUUGAUUUGACAUCCUUUUCCUCUUUUCCAUUGACAUCAAAAUGAUGCCCCACAAACGUGCAUGCACACACACACACACACACAAAUGCAUAGUGGCCAGUGGGAGGGGAUGCUAUUGCCUGCAGCCCUGCACUGGAAGCAUCCAUACAUGUGUGCACUGCUUGCCCGCUAUUCCCCCAUCACUUUUAAUACUUCCAAUUUAACAAUCCACUCCUUGGGUGCACAAAAAGGUUAUGAUAGAAACUAAAGUUCGAGAUGUGACGGAGGGUUGAUGCCUUGAUGGGUAGACGGUGCACGGAUAUACGAAUGCACCGAGUUCAGGCAAUGCUCUCUCCAUGGGGUGAAGGGAGUUGGGAUGUGGGUUUGGCAUGGAGGGACCCAAUUACAUGGCCUUGCAUGAAGCGAAAUGCCUUUUUAUUCUCUUUCUCAAAGCCCUUUUGCACUUGGAUAUCAGAGCCCUUUGUUGUUGCGUUUGUGGAUGAGGAAGGAGAAAACUUUUUAAUAAUCCUUGCUGCAGGGCAUGUGAAGCAUCAAAACAAAGAAACUCAUUGGCAUGGUCUCUCUCAUGGUAGUAUCUUACCCACUGCAAUAAACAAAGUCUACAUUACCUUUUGUACCAGGCCUUAGCUUUUUAUUCACAUUAACAACAGUUGUGUAAAGAGAGAUGCUUUUGAGUUCCUCUAAAAUAUUGUAUUUAUUGAUUGUUAAUAUAUUAGCAAAUAUAUAUGGUAUGUUUUUAUUGUGUGAACAAAUAAAAUAUUCCACAUCAUGUAUAUCAACAUAUCAACAACUCAUAACAGCAUUACUCUAUAAAAGAGACUUGUAGCAUGCUGUGUCCUAUCAUAAAUUUAGCAGUAUGGGAAUCCCAUAGGUCCAAUGAUAAGCAAAUCUCUUCCAUUUGAUAUUAUCAUACAUAUGAUUAGUAUAACAUCACUGCUUAGCUAAGACUAUUCUUAGAACCAAGCAGUGCAAUGAAUUUUUGUGAUGAGCAGUACUCAGGUUUAAUCUGUAGAUGCAUGUUUUAGGAGAGAGGAGCUACAGGAAGAAGUUGAAUGAGAGGUAGAAGGUAGAGGAAGAAAUGUAAGUAGGAAGGGCAGUGAUAGAUAGGAAGGGCAGUGAGAGAGAAAGAACCUAAGAACAACUCUCUACUAAUUAGUUAGGUCAUAAUUAGUUAGGUCAGGUCAUCGGUGGUUUCUACUAAACAACACUAAUUAAGAAGUUCUUUUUUCCCUCUCUCUCUCUCUCUCUCUCUCUCUCUCUCUCUCUCUCGGGGGUGUGAGCUACAAAAAAGAAACUAUUUGAGCAUUUUAACCAGUAAAUAAGGGAAGCUUAUGUCCCAUUUAUUUAUUAGCUAGCCCCCUAUAUAUCUAUUUGUUUGCAUUGCUUAUAUUCUCCUACUAUGACCAAGUACCAACACUAUCAGUGGUGUACGUUGUCACAUCUAGCCUUUGCGAUGAUAUCUCCAUAGGCCUAACAUCUAUCUAACAAAUUCCCUUCCAAUCUCACACAUCACCACCGUUUGUCACUUUGUAAUUAUAAACUAAUCAUCUGCCCUUUCUACGUGCAUCAUCUCUCCCCGCCCGUUAGCUCUAAGGUGCUGCUAUGUGGAUCUUAAGUUCUGUAUCCAACCACCAUGUAUUGCUUCUGAGUUUCUAAAAUCUAUCAAACUUACACGCGGCCAAUUUAGAGGAGCCCCUAAGUAUUACUUUUGUCUAUUUCACAUUCAUAAUAAUUAUCUCCUUAUGCAAACAACAAUUAAAACAAGGGCGAAAAUAACAACAACAAAAAUGCAAUAGCGGUAGUAAUUAGCAAAAUUACUCAUAAAAUUACUUUUUUUAUUGAAUUGAUAAUAUUUUUAUCUGUACCUGAGAUAAUCCAUCUCAAUAAUGGAUUCAACAAUAAUUGAUGCUCAAGUAUGCUACGUACUGGAGGUGAAGAGGCAGCACAUGAUCAUAGGGCCGUGAGCUCGUGGCGACAACAGUUGGACUAGAGCACCUGUCAUACCGCCGCUAUUAGAAAAAAGAAUAGUUUUUCAAAUUGGAAGUUGUGAAGCGCUAAAAUGUUUAUUCAGCGAGAGCGUCCAGUUUAAAUUUUAAAAUAGCAUAUUCUCAAAUCCCUCCUCCUCCAAUUAUUAUUAUUAUUUUUUUCUCUUUUCCUCCCUCUGCUUCUCAGCUGCUGCUGCUGCUGCUGCUACAGUACUCUGCUUCUUCUUCUUCUCCGCAGCCACCUUUUCACUCUCCCGGAAUCCCCGUUACCGUGCUCUGUUCUCAGCGCCGGCGGGAUCGUCGCCGGAACCCUAAUCUUCGCCGGCGAAGCCCAACCGGACACUUCGCUGGCAAACAUGGACCUCUAGCUAUCUCCGCCGCCGCCGCCGCCGCCGCCCCCCUCCUCUCCAUCACCAAUGGCGCCUGCGCCCGUCAUCCUCCUCCUCCUCCUCCUCACUCUCUCCGUCUCCCUCUCCUCACUCCACCCUGCGGCGUCGUCGGAUCCUUCAUCAGCGGAUGAGCUCGCCGCCCUGCUCGCCCUGAAGGGCUCCGUAACCCUCGACCCCUCCUCCCUCCUCUCCGGCUGGGACCCCUCCGCCGCCGCCCCCCGCCGCCACUGCCGGUGGCGCGGCGUCACCUGCUCCGCCGCCUCCGGCCGCGUCGCCUCCCUCAACCUCACCGGCGGCUCCCUCGCCGGAACCCUUCCCGCCGCCGUGUUCAGCCUCUCCGAGCUCCGCGCCCUCGCCCUCGCCGGAAACGCCUUCUCUGGUGAGAUCCCGUCGCCGCCCAUCGGCAGCCUCCGCCAUCUUGAGCUCCUCGACCUCGGAAGCAACAACUUCUCUGGGAAGAUCCCCGUCGAGAUAAGCUUCCUCCCUUCUCUCCGCGUUCUAGAUCUUUCCUACAACUCCCUCUCCGGCCUGAUACCGGAAAACUUGAUCGGGUCCUCGAGGAUCGAAUCGCUGGACCUGUCGUUCAACCGGCUCACCGGAGGGAUCAAGAUUGUUCCCUCUGGUUCCUGCCGAUUUCUUUCCCAUUUGAAGCUCUCCGGUAAUCUUCUCAUUGACAGCAUCCCAUCGGAGAUCGGGAAAUGCUCCAAUCUCCGGGACCUGCUGCUGGACCGCAACAUUCUAGAAGGUCACAUACCAGCCCAACUCGGAUGGCUAUCGCGCCUCCGCGUCCUUGAUGUCUCGCGAAAUAGCCUUACCGAUAGGAUACCAAAGGAGCUCGGGAAUUGCCGUGAGCUCUCUGUUCUUGUUCUCACUGAUUUGAUGGAUAUCGACUCUAUGACUAGUAGGUCAUCAAUGGUUUCCAGUAGUAGUGGGGAGGAGUUUAAUGCGUUUGUCGGGGCGAUUCCGCCGGAGGUGGUUUCGAUUUCGAGCCUUGAGAUCCUUUGGGCUCCGAGAGCAAAUCUUGAUGGGAAACUUCCGAGUUACCGAAAUAGUUCGUGUAGCUUGAGGAUUCUUAAUCUGGGGCAGAACUACAUUAGUGGUAUGAUUCCCGAAUGGCUCGGAAUGUGCCAAAAUCUCACCUUUCUCGAUUUGAGCUCGAACUAUCUGCAAGGUCCGGUGCCAUUCUCUGUUCGAUUUGGAUGCAUGGUUUAUUUCAAUGUCAGUCGGAACUCAUUGUCUGGCUCUGCUAUGAAAUCAACAGAGAGUGGUUGUUCAAACAGUCUGUUCUCAGAUGGGGAGAAUAUUGGGUUUUCGGUUCGGGAAGGUGUUUUGAUGCAAUACUAUGAAAGUUUCCUUCAAAGUGCCUCGAAGGGUAACCCUUUUGGAUCAAUCCUGGGUGAAGAUCUUGUUGUUCUGCAUGAUUUCAGCUGGAAUGGCUUUAGCGGGUCUUUGCCAUCUUUCUCCCUCGCUCUUCAUAGUAACUUUUCUUAUGGUUUGUUGCUCAACAACAAUGCGUUUGAUGGGUCGCUUUCAAGUGCCUUUUUUGGAUUUUGUGAUGGUGGGAGUGGAUUAGCAGUUAAUUUGAGUGUUAAUCGGAUAUCCGGCAUUAUUGAGCCAUUAACGGGCUGUUUGUUCCUUCGGAGUUUUGAAGCAGCUAAUAAUCAAUUUAGUGGCCCAAUUUCAUCCAACAUUAAAGGCUUGCAUUUGCUCAAACACCUUGAUUUGAGGUGGAACAAUUUAUCCGGAGAAAUUCCAGUUCAAAUUGGUAAUUUAGCUUCUCUUACUUUUUUAGAUUUGUCGAGAAAUUCUCUGAUAGGAAGCAUCCCAUCAAGCUUAUCAGAUGCUCCAAAUCUUCAAAUUCUUUUGCUUGAUCACAACAGGCUCUCAGGAAAUAUCCCUCGGAAUUUCAGUUCACUCACCCAACUUAUGACACUGGAUGUUUCCUUUAACAACCUCUCAGGAACUAUUCCUUAUCUUAGACACUCAAAUGACUGCAAAUUCUUCGAGGGUAAUCGUUUUCUGCAGCCGUGCGUGAGUUUAAACGCCUCCUCACAAUCCGAAAACCCUAUUCAGGAUGAUGCUAAAAAAUGGAAUAGCCGAAAGACCAGGUUGAAGUCCUUCAUAAUGGCAGCAGUUGCUUCUGUCUGUAUCAUACUCUCUAUUCUCCUAGUAUUGUUUCUUGUCCUCAUCUAUGGAAAAAGGAAGCACGUAAAGAUUGCAAGUGCAAGGAGAAAAAUGGUCGUGACCUUCAUGGAUGCUGCUCCAGAAUUAACUUAUGACAACGUAGUACAAGCAACAGGCAAUUUCAGUAUUCAGAAUUUAAUAGGAACCGGAGGAUUUGGGGCCACCUACAAGGCAGAGCUUGUUCCUGGUUUUUCGGUCGCAGUGAAGAGGCUUUCUAUAGGUAAGUUCCAAGGCCUUCGGCAAUUCGAUGCUGAGAUACGGACGCUAGGUAGGAUUAGACACAAGAAUCUCGUAACCCUCAUUGGGUACCAUAGAGGGGAAUCUGACACGUUCUUGAUCUAUAAUUAUCUAUCUGGUGGAAAUCUCGAGGCAUUCAUACGCAACAUGGCAAAUAGAAAAAUGAGCUGGGUAGAGAUUCAUAAGAUAGCACUUGAUGUGGCCCAAGCAUUGGCGUACCUCCACUACUCUUGCAUCCCCCGAAUCGUCCACAGGGACAUCAAGCCGAGCAACAUCCUGCUUGACGAAAAGCUCAACGCUUAUCUAUCAGAUUUUGGCUUAGCGAGGCUUCUAGAAGCUUCCGAGACUCAUGCUACUACUGAUGUUGCUGGGACAUUUGGGUACGUUGCGCCCGAGUACGCAACCACGUGUAGAGUUUCUGAUAAAUCCGAUGUUUAUAGUUUUGGAGUUGUGCUCAUGGAGUUGAUGUCUGGGAAGAGGUCAUUGGAUCCGUCGUUCUCGCAGUAUGGUAAUGGGUUUACGGUUGUGGCAUGGGGAAGGAUGUUAGCGCAAGAGGAACGGGCAGGUGAGUUUUUUGAUAGUGGAUUGUGGGAGGCUGGGCCAAAGGAGAAUUUGGUUGAGAUGUUGAGGCUUGGGCUGUCCUGCACUGUGGAGUCCCUAACUGUUCGGCCCUCAAUGAAGCAUGUUGUGGCAGCAUUGAAGCAAUUGAAAAAUUAGCUUGUAAUGUCCAGGAAGAGAAGUAAAAGGUUAUCAAGAUGAGCUCUGGCAGAGAUCUACCUUGUUCAGGUGAGAGUGUAAUUCAAUUAAUGCCAUGCAUUCUUUGUAACUAAAAUCUUACUAUUUUGAAAAGAAAAUGAUUAUCAUCUCUAUAGAAGUGUUCGCCUUGAGGAUAUGCCCAUCUUGUAGAACAUGCAUUAGUGGUGUUUACAGUAGUAGAAGAAUUUUGGGUUGCUGAUCAAAUGCUAAGAUACCUUCAGAAAACAAUUAUACCACACUAGAGUUGGACUCGACUCGAUUUCAGUUCCACCCUGGUGUAACUAUCUCAAAAUGUCUGGCAAAUCUCUCUGAAACCUUGGGGAAUCUCCCAGACAUAAAAUAGUGUAUGCAAAAUUAGCUAUAAUGUUAUACAUAUACCAUAGUAGAUAGUUUCUCUUGCUUAUACCAGUUGGCGAUACCACUGUAGCAGUCUCUCUUGCUUAUGCCUGUUUGUGAUACUUAAAUGCACUUGAGAAUAAGUAAUGGAAUUCUGAAUGGUUGAUAUAUGUGCUUCCAUAUGAUUUAAUGUACUAACCCAACAUUCAUUAUCUAUAUUUUUUCAAUUAUCUUUGUGUUGAACGAAUUCUGAUGAACCAGCUGAUCUUACAGGUGCCAUUGGAACAAAACACGAAAACUCAGCAACUAAGUCUUUUUGGUUCCAGUUAGCCACAAGGUAAAUCUUAUCAACUUGCUCCAUCAUUUCUUUAAUUGAUUAUUUCAUCUAACGUUGGGCUUUAGUAUUUUAAAGGAGCUAGAAUUUGUGGUAACAAGUCACUUUUUUUGCAGUAGCAAAUAGCUCGGCCUAGUCUAUUCUCUCUUGGAGGUCAUUUCGUCUUCUUCUCAAGAUCCUUCUUUAGUCUAACAUAAAAAUCUGCAACAAGUUUUGGUGCUAAAUAGGAUGAUCCCAGGAUAUCAGCUAACCAGGUUCUUUUCUCAACUCUAGUUAGAAUGGCAGAAUCAUGACUAGACUGGAAGUUUCUUUCUAUUUUUCCUCCUUAGAGCUUGUAACUACAAAUGAUCAGUUGUGAUUAAUUAGAUUAAACAUUUACAAUACCUUCUCUGUUUCAUGCUUUGUUGAAUUUCUUACCAUUAGCAGUUAGAUGUCUCUUCGGUCAUUUAUGGUAAACAUGUAGAUGCAUUUCAUUGUUAGUUACUAUUUCCUUUGCCUGGCAAUAAGAAAAUACAUAAUGAGAUAGCUCUUUAAGUAGCAACACUUUGAGAAGGCUGCUAAUAUAACAUAUUUGGAAUGAGCUUAUUACAGCAGUUGCCUCACCGACCUCGGCCUGUUCUUUGAUAGGCUCAAUCUCGUAGGCUUUCGAUCUUCCAUACCCACCAUCAGUCCUAACUCUCCUACUCUGUUAAUAACAUACUGAAAACUUUUCAGUUUAGCAGUAUAAAUUUGAUUUACUCUAAGACUUAAUGUCGUACAAGGUAGUGUCAAAUUCAUGAUUAUCAAAAGAAACCGGUGAGAAUCCGGCAAAUAUCCAAUAUCACUCCCACUUUAUAACAACUCUUUGAGUUAUUUCUGAAAAAAAAGAAUAUGACUGAAUCACUGUAAUCAACUUUGAUUACACAAUUUUUAUACUGAAGGACUUGAAAAUAGAAGGGCUUGUUUGGUUAAAAUUAGUUGUAAAAUUUAUAACUGAAAUAUUCUCUUGGAAUUUUGAGAUAUUUCUGCCAUAAUGACAUGUAGAAGGUCAUUCAACAAAAGGAUAAGGUCCAUGAAACUAUUUCCAAGAGGCAAAAGCUAUCUUAAAAGAUACCAUGACCAAGGUUAAUAUAGAAGAUUAUCUUCCUUGUCAUGACAGUAAUAAGGUACAUUCAAAAGAUACCACACUGAAAUUGAAAAACAAGUAACAUUCCGCACAUAAAUUUAUAACAUUCAUAAAACUAACAUCUCAGGAACAAAGUUCUCAAUCCUAGAGCAGCUCUGCAGCUCCAGGUACAUCUAAGCUGCAACUAAUUUUUAACACACAAAAAGGAAAAUUAUGGGACUAAAUAGAGUGCAACAUUUAACUAAAUUGCCUUUUUUUUUUUUCUAGUUUCCUAAUCAUUAUAAAUGAUCCAACACCAGCUAACUAGGUCCCAAUUUACCAAAUAAAAUAAAUGACGACUCAUAAAUAUCAAUGUAUAAUGCUGGAUCAACUGCAGAUAAAUCUACCACUCUACUUGUUCUCAAAUGAACUAAAAGUCGUGCUUCCAUUUGGUACCUCCACCUCAACCACCUUCUGAACCCUGUAUUUGUAUCUCUUUGCGAAAUAUAGGAAAACACAAAAGUUGAUCGUACUUAGUAUGGCCAACAACCAAUACAAGUAAUCAAACCUCCCAGUAUUUAUGUUUUGGGAAAGCCAUGAUGGGCGCCCUUCGUCCUCAUUUCCAGUGAUGGAAUUGAUAAUAUUGUUUAAUAUAGUAGCAACAAAACAGCCCAAACCACCGGCCACUGCAGCAUAAGCAGAACCGACACUUCGCAUGGCAUCAGGAGCCUCCUGAUAAAGAAAUUCUAAAAGACCCACAAUGGCAAACACUUCGGCUAUUCCGAUCAAGCAAUACUGAAUCAACAACCAAUAGGCACUCAAAUUAGGCAUAUGAGUGAGAAAGAGAGCCUCAUAACCAUUUUUGAUAGCAUAAUUCCUUCUAUACCUCUCGAAAGCCCCAGCCCAUGCUACUGAUAAAAUAGAAACCGCAAGCCCAAGGCCCACUCUCUGAAGCUGAGAUGCGCCUUGAGGGUGGCCCGUGAUGCGGCGGGACAAGGGGGCGAAUGUUGAAUAGUAUAGGGCUAAAAUAAAAAAGAUUGCGAGACCAGGGAAGACAGGCAUGCAUGUAACUGGGAGUUUGAGGUGGCCCAUGUGGGUGUUCAUAGUGUAUGCUUGCUGCACUGAGAGAGUCAGAUACUCAGUCAAUAUUACACUCAGCAUUAUUGUGCAAGCCGGUAUUGGGAGAAGUUUUAGUAAUAUUUUAACCUCUUCGACUUGCGUUACUGUGCAAAGCCUCCAUGGGCUGGGAUCAGUGCCAUCCUCUUUCAGCUGAAGAGCAGCCUUAUCCAAACACCUACAGAACCAAAUAUCCUGAAUCAUCAUCAAGUUCAUAUUGAUGAUGACCUUCUUAUCAUCAAAAAAACCAAACAGAGUUAUAUAUGUGCCUGCAGAGUCAUAUAUUUACAUUUAUACCGCUGAAAAAUCUAAAUUUUCAUACAUAUGCCCCUUGAAAAUGUGCUUCCUUACAAAGAAUACAUUAUCUCAGGUUGGGUAAUUAUCAAAGUCCAUGAGUUUAUGGAGAAAGUUUGGUUUUGUAUUCUGGCUGGUAUACUCUGUGCUAUUGUUAGUACAACUACCUUCGUACUCGUAAGUCAUUAUUAAUGAUAGAGCUUUCGAAUCGAUGAUCCAUACUGUGAAACAUAAUUAAGAGUACUUAGUUUCGAAAUUAAGCUUCCAAAUCGACAAUCCAUAUCGCUUGAUGGACUUUAUUAUAAUUUUAAAAAAUAACGAAAUUAGUAUUUAGGUAUUCCAAAUGCUUUACAUUAUGUUUAACGAUCAGGUCGUCGAUUCGAAAGCUUUAUCAUGAAAAAUGACUUAUGAGUACGAAAACUAAGUCAUUUUCAAUAUUGGAGCUUCUAAAUCGACGAUCCAUACCGUUAAACAUAAUUUGGAGCAUUUAAAUAUUUUUGAAAGCGAAUUUCAUAAUCUUUUAACAUCAUAAAAAUUGAUAUUUUUAACAACCGGUAUGGAGCAUUUCCGAGUUAAUGGUGUAGAAUUGAGAUCGGUUGAAUUUUUAAUCAAAAAAAUCUAUUCAUUGUGUAGAUCAAGAUCAAUAACUUUGAUAUUGAAUUUAAAAAUUCUAUCCCCUAUUUUUAGGAGAUUGUGUACCCACUUGAUCAACUUAAUUAUAAAAUUAAAAAAUAACGAAUCGUCUUAGAAACACGAAGGUCUCUACACUUAUUAAGUGCAUAGUAAUCCUACUCUAUACACGCACACAAACAUUGUGGGGCUUCUGUGCUUUUAAAAGCACAUGAAUAGUGCUUGCUUCCUAGUUUUUAACCAUUGGUUGCCUAGGGUUUAGUGGGGAUAGGUGGAUAAUAGUAGAUCUAAGGACUAAAAAGUUGAAAGCACGCACUAUUUAUGUACUUUCGAAAGCACACAAGCCGGACUAUAUAAAAAUUAAGCUUUCUAUAUGAAAAUUCAGAUUUUGCUUUGGUGCAUUCGUCAAUGUCACUAGAUUAUUUUGCCGGUUUGUGUAUACAAAAUAUAAAAAACUGUUUAAACGUCUAUCUUGAGUUCCCAACAUAGUCGUGCACUUAAAAAGUUAAAACUGGGCAGAAUAAGGCGUUCAUGAACUCACAUAGUAAAACAUAAGAGAAUCGAUUAAUUCAUAAAGCAUGCGGUACCUGAAAUCAUCUGUGUGGUCUAUCUUCCCACUACCCUUGAUGGCCGAUCUAUUACCAGGGACUUCAUAAAGUCCAACGAAGUCGCUGCUAGAGAAAGGUACAUUUCUCUUUCUAAAAGCGGCUACUAGAACCUGAGCUACUCUUGUGAGAGGGCUUCCACCUGGUAGCCUAUGCCUGUACAAUGGAGUGCCUAUAAAGAAAACGGCAUUUGAGAUACCCAUUGCUACGGCCAGAGAGCCAAAUGCCGAACCCCAUCCAUGCUUCAUCUGAAUGUACACAACCAUUGUGAAGGCCGCGAUCGCUCCGAUUGUAACAGAGAGGUAGAAAAAAUUGAAGAAUCGAUCUAAGUGAGCCUUGUAGUCUCUACUCUUCUCGUCAAACUGGUCGGCUCCAAAUGAUGAGACGCACGGCCUUAUCCCUGCCGCUCCAAAAGCUGUGAUGUAAAGAACUACAUAUAGAUAUAGCAUCUGCCACGGCUUUGCAGGCUCACACGCGCCCACGAGUAUAGAUAACUGAUCACAGUCAGAUUGGUUUGGUAUGAAGACUCUCAUAGUGGCGCAUAAUGUUAGUCCUGUCAAACCCUGGAUAAUGGGACAUAUGGGGUUGUUUGUGUUUAGUCAACCACAUGAGAUUUUGAAAUGAUAGAAAGCUGAGAGUUAUGAAACCUUUCACGGCAUUAAAAUGGAGUAGGGCUUUUAUCCAAAGAAGGUUCAGUCACUACCGUUAACUGUAUAGCUAACACGUAUAUUUACACAUCAAAUAUAGUUUUGUGUUACCUUAUGACAUCUAUAACAUUGUGAGUCAAAAGGGAUAUACAAAGGUAAAACACUAUCCCGCCAUGCAAUGAAAAGGUAAAGAGAUGCAUGUAAAUUAAUGAAAUUUAACAUUAUUCAGCGCACGAUAUGGAGUGAAAAUAGCUGCUUAUUAGUACAGCACGUAUUCCCCAGUUAGUGAUUCCUAGAUAUUCUCAGUUUCAAGAGUCAACGGUUGUGUUUCAGCUGUAUGAAAGAUGAUAAAACUGAAAUAAGGAAAUCGUCAAUUACUAGUCCGUGGAUUUACCAGAAGAUAAAUAGUGGUGAAUAUAGCGAUAGUCCAAUAUCUACCAAGAUAAGCAUCAGCCAGAAAACCGCCGAGGACAGAUGAGGCCUGUGAUAUCCCCAGGAAGUUGUUCACUGCAUUAGCCGAGCUCGCGAACGGUCGGUGCAUCAUGUAGAACAUGAAUGUAACCAUAUUAACCGACAGCCCAAAGUACGCCAUCCUCUCUGCCAUCUCAUUACCUAUCGACCGUCAUAUUCGACUUAAGAAUCAAUCAAACGAUAAAAAAGUGUUCGACAGACUACUUCAAAAUCAGCUUAGUCAAGGGGAAAGGAAGGCAUGGCAGAUCCAGAAGCUUAUACAAAUGAUUAGAAUGAGCUCACAUAAAGAGGAGUUGAUUAGGAUAUUAGUAUUAGUAUCGCAGAUUAAAUACCAAAACCUAGAAGGGGUACACCUUUUGAGUACUUGGAGCAUGAAAUAGGAUAGACAAAACAAUUCAUCACUAAGAAAGAAUUACUGAACCACCCUAGGAUGAAACUAUAACUUAGAUGCAAGCGUAGAUAAUUAGCUAUAUUAGCAUGUGCAGUUUUCUAAAGUAGCUGAGAACAUGCUUUUUGUUUAGACCAGUUUUAGUCUUGAUGUUUACUAGAAUUGCGGAAACUAACUGCGAAUUUUUUGUCAUGCAGAGACUGAAACAGGGGUUCACAAACCAAAGAUGAAGAAAGCGGCGACCCAGCCGCCGGUCUUGGAGAGAUCUUCGAUGGGCCUGCCCCUGAUGUUCACGGGCGUCGUCCCGCCGGCCAUGUAGUACUCCCCGCCGAUCGCCUUGGGGAACCGCCGCUCAUCGCUCUCCGCAAAGUGGAUCCCCAGCUUCUUCCUCUGAAUAUAAUCCAAAACCGACCUCUCCGGAGUGCUCUCCUCCGGCGACCGGAUCUCCUUCGACUCCAUCUAUCAAACGUUCACCUGAUUUUGGCCCAAUCUUCUUCUCCGAGAGCAAAUACCCCUUCAAGCUCAAAAAAGCUCCAAUUUUCCGAAAAAGACCAAAGGAACAGUAAGAAGCCAAAGCAGCAGCAUUCCCUUGAAUCCAAGUAAAGGGCAAAAUGCCAAAGACGAGACCUUUCCCAGGAAAUGUAGUAAUGGGGAGGAGGGAAGAGGGAGUGAGUCGUAGUAGGAGUAGCAGCAGUAGUAGUAGUAGUAGUAGUAAUGCAUGAUGGGGAUGUGAUGGGGGGGGGUUUGUGGGGGCAAUAAAAGCAUUGCCCACCCAACUGCAUUUUUGGCGUUGCUACGUUCGCACAAUUUUGGGUUUUGGCACAUUUAAUACGUGGGGACAGGUAGGUGAAAUGGAGGAGGAAGAGGGAGAGGGGAGCGUGUAAAUAUAACAAUAAAUAUACAAUAAAUGGGGGGAAUUGAUAGUGAGAUUCGCUUUUUUAUUAUUAUUAUUAUCAUCAUCAUCAUCAUUAUUAUUAUUAUUAUGAAUAUAAAUAUAUAAUAAGAAACAAUAAUCUACUAUCCACUGCUACUCACAAAGUUGGGUAUUUUACUACAAUAAUCUGACACGUGCAUCUCAAUGAUGUGUUGUGACCAAACUAUCCUUUAUUUACACCUUUCUUACUCUCACAAAGUUGGAUAUUUUAGUACUAUUCCAUCCAAUCUUCUUCUUCUUCGUUUUUUUUGUCCUUCCAAAGAGCUGUUAUUGUCCAAACCUGGUCUAUGCAUAAUUCAAAAGAUACAUAUAUUUCUAUUCAUAAUUUUUGUGCCAUCUAACAUAAUAUACAAUGUAGUUUCUUUUUCCCCUUGUACCGUUAAUUUUGUAAGCUACUUAAGAUCUAAAUAAUUUAUUUUCACCAACCAUCUAUAUUUAUUUUCAAUAUAAAAAUAUAUGUACUUACAAAAUUAAAAUUACGUAUAUUAGCAAUUGAACAAAAAAAAAAAAUUAUUAUACAAAACACAAUGCUACGCAGGGAUUACCUAGAUUAUUGUAUAAAAAUAAAUAAAUAAUAACGAGAUGGUAAAAUUACCGCCCACAUUACCUGCCUUUGAGUUUGGUCACUUCCGGUGAGCUUACCGCGCAGACAACAUCCUCUCAUUUGCCGCUAAUUUACGGCCGAGGGUGAUGUCCCUAUGUAUAGAGAAACUACCAUUGUAUCUAUCCUAUUUUUGUAUCCUCGUGAUGUAUAUGUACUACUUGGACCGUGAACUACCGUUGUGAUACUUCUCUUUUGUCGAGAUUUUGGGAUUGUACACUCUUUGUCCUUUUGUUGAUAUAUAUCGACUUGUACAUUGCUCUGAUAUCAGGAUAGGACUUCCUUUGUUUUACUUUCUAUCGAUUUGUUGCUUGUAGACGCCUUAUAUACUGCAGGUGUAUGACGGAUCUGUGCACGUGCCGAAUAUGCUUCCGCUGGUACCCGGGCGUGACAGAUUAUAGUGGUAUCAUCUUUGGCGUAAAAAAAAUUGAGG
rnacentral:lncRNA from 1 species